rnacentral:lncRNA from 1 species
UAAGACUUUGCCCUGAACUAUAUUUCUUACUGAACCGUGUGGAUGAUGGUCGCUGUAGUUGGGUGGUGUGAAAGGGAAGAUGUUCAUGGGAUCGAAUGUUUAGUGUGGUGCUUAGGGUAGGUCUAUUCUGUAUUUGGUGGUACAAGAUGAGGUCUGCAAGGAACAGAAGGGGCUGUCUCAUUUUAGGAAUGUAUUAUUCUGCACUUGGUGAUUUUGAUCUGUCAUCUUCCUUAGUACUAGUUCAUGCUAUUAUUAUGAUUGCCAUCAAUCUCAAUAUAUCAUGUUUUUGUUUAGACAGACUCAAUAUAUCAUCUGCAGUAUAGGGGUUCGCUGCUAUGCUAAAUAUUGGAGCUUGUAGUAAGAUGUGUAACAAGAUCAAGAUCCGCCUUUUAGUUCGUCUGAUCACAUUGCUUUCUUUUUUUAAUUUGACCACAUUGCUAGAAGUCUCUAUCCAGGCCCACUUUUUAGCCCAUUUUGCUUUGGGAGAAUAUCACACCAAAUUUUGAUAGAAACCGGUGAAAACCAUGCUGAAACGGUGUUUUUAAGUUUCAAAGAAAUCAUAAGAAAAAUACAGAAUGUCAAGAGUGAUGUUCUAUUUACAUGUGAAAUUUCCAAGUUCAAACAAAACACCAUUUAUGAGCACUAGUUUUGUUUUCCUUGUAAAUGUCUCAAGUUAGUUUUUUUUAAAGGAGGACAAACCCUGGCCUCUGCAUCAAAAGGAUGCAUGCCGCCAUUUUAUGAAAAAGUUCAUCAUGAAAAGUUUCACAGUGCAGUAACUGAUUCCACUCCAGUAAGCCAUGUCCCAAAUAACAUGUCAAUGCUAACUGGAGGGCUUAUAAUAAAGGCUAUAUGAAUCGUAUGCCAUAGAAGCUUAGCGAGAGGGCAAUCGAUAAAAAGAUGUUGUAUCGUUUCAUCAUUCUGACAGAAACAACAAUGUGAAUUGCCUACCCAACUGCGCCUAAGCAGAUUAUCUUUGGUGAGAAUCACUUGCUUAUGGACGAACCACAUGAAUAUCUUGAUUCUCAACGGAACUUUAAUUUUCCAAAUAUGAAUAGAUCUCGCGAUUUGGCCAGAAUCAAUCAGAUCCAAGUACAGCGAUUUUACCAUAAAAACCCCGUUCUUAGUUAUUUUCCAGUGAAAUAGGUCAGGCUGGUUAGAAAGUUGAACAUCCAUCAACCUUCGCACAAGAUGCAACCAAGCGUUUCACCUCUCGCCCACUAGGGAUCUCCUGCACUGGAUAUUCAGCGGGGAUGACUGUAAUACUGUAUCAAUGUAAACCUCCUUACGCUGUACAAUAUUAUACAGAGCAGGAUAUUGCAAGGCCAAGGACGUCUCCCCUAACCAUGUAUCUUCCCAAAAUCUCGUUGUAGUACCAUCUCCAACCAAAAAAAUUGCUCUAUGAAAAAAGGCAUCCUUUAUUCUCAUUAGCCCCUUCCAGAAUGGUGAGUCGUUAGGUCUGACGGUACCUGGGCCAGAGACUUUGAGACUAGAUAUUUGUUACGAAGAAUCUGAGCCCACAUGCCGUCGGUCUCAACCGAUAACCUAAAUAGCCAUUUACUUAAUAAGCAUUUAUUUUUCAUCUCCAAGUUCUCAAUCCCAAACCCCCCUUGGUCCUUUGGUCUGCAAAUAAUAUCCCACCUGGUAAGCCUGUAUUUCUUCUUUACUUCAUCGCUUUGCCAGAAGAAACGAGAUCGAUAGAAAUCUAAUCUUUUCCGCACCCCUACAGAUACUUCGAAGAAAGAUAAUAAGAACAUCGGCAUACUAGUUAGUACUGAGUUUAUUAACACCUGCCGACCUCCAUAAGACAUAAGCUUGCCCUUCCAGCAACUUAGUUUUUUUUCAAAUCGAUCCUCAAUGCAUUUCCAUUCUUUAUUUGUAAGCUUUCGAUGGUGAAUUGGGACUCCGAGGUAACUGAAAGGCAAGUAUCUCAUUUCACAACUGAACAAUUGUCUAUAUGCAUCUUGUUCCUCUUUGGCUCUUUCAAAGCAGAAUAAUUUGUUCUUGUUAAAAUUUAUUUUUAAUCCUUGCACUUUAAGUGAGAAGGAAUCACGGCAGGCAGAAAAAUCCAAACAAAUGUACACUAUAAAUCUAGCUGAGUAAUUACUGUGUGUAUAUAUUGACACAUGAAUCAUGUAAAGCUGGAGUAUAUGUGUAAUCAUGGUGUGCAUCGAAGAAAAUUAACAUGAUUCUUGUGUCAAUAUGUACAACAAGCGAUGCCACGAACACUUCCUCGCACGUGUGAGUUUCGGUCGAUUUGUUAACUUCAUAAACCAAUGCACGAAAGAUAAAAAAUACUGAAGAUCAAGCUGCAUGGGUUGCUGCUCAAAAUCCUCAUCGGAUUCCAUAACUGGGGAUUAGAAGAAAACAAGUGUGAGAUGAAAUAACAUAGAACUCCAGAAUUUAAAAUGCCUAGCUAGCAGUGAGCACCGUAAUCCCAUAUACACUAUUGGAAUCCAGUAAUUUGCCGUCUGCCACCUCUUUGCCGUCCACCAGCUGACGGUAAAGAGCCUCUUUUGCCGUCCGCUUCCACAUAACGGACGACAAAGAAUGUGCAGAUGGAAAAAAGUCUAUUUGCCGUCCGCUAUUUCUUUGCCGUCAGCCAGCUGACGGCAAGGAGGUAGAAGGCAAACAGCAAAGGGCCAGGUGGGCCCCACAGGGCAUGAUGUGGCUAGGUCAGGUUCUUUGCCGUCCGCCGGCAGACGGCAAAGAUGAGACGUGGGCCAGCCCUAAAUGGCCGCCCUCUUUGCCGUCUGCUAGCGGACGGCAAAGAAGGCCCACUUAACGGGCCGAGCCGUCUCCCCUCUCUCUCUCUUUCUCUGUCUCCCUCGAUCCCGCGCGCCCGCCUCUCUCCNNNNNNNNNNNNNNNNNNNNNNNNNNNNNNNNNNNNNNNNNNNNNNNNNNNNNNNNNNNNNNNNNNNNNNNNNNNNNNNNNNNNNNNNNNNNNNNNNNNNNNNNNNNNNNNNNNNNNNNNNNNNNNNNNNNNNNNNNNNNGGUGCCGGACCCCUCCCCGCGGCCCUGCGCCCCGCCGCCCCACUGCCGCCCUCCUUCCCGCGGCCCCUGCGCCGCCCCACCGCACCGGCCGACCUCGCCCUCCACCGGCGAUCCCCUGCAGGUUUGUUCUCCCCCCCUUUUUAGUUUAGUUUUUUUAGUUUCUUUUAGUUUAGUUUCUGUUUUAGUUUUAGUUUUAGUUUUAGUUUUAGUUUAGUUUUAUUUUCAGUUUAGUUUUAGUUUAUUUUAUUUUAGUUUAUUUUAGAUUAGUUUUAGUUUAGAUUAGUUUUAGUUUAGAAGAAGAAGAGGAGUAGAAGGAGGAGGAGGAGGGAGGAAGAGGAGGGAGAAGAAGAGGAGUAGAAGGACCCCCUAACCCGCUGAGCCUGUUGUAAAAAUUUAGUUAGGUCGACGGAAGAAACAAAAUUGCUAUGUUAUUCAUCUUUCGAUUUAAAUGUGCAGUUAUUUCGUCGCUGCGAGGGUCUGGUGUUCGAUGAGCUCUCCCCAUGCGUUCGUUGGUGAGCACAAAUGAUAUCUCCUCCUCCCCCCUUCAUUUGCUCUGUUCUGGUCUUCGUGCCGAUGAAACUUGCUAGCUAUAGGUGUCAAUCAUCAGUAUGCGUAACCACUAUGUGUCUCCCGUUCGAAAGGGUUACAUCUAUAAAUAUGCAUGCAUUUGCAUAUUUAUAAUCGUGAUUCUUUCGAAUUGUCCAACGUUAUCCAUGGACAGCCCGAGUAUGUGUAGAUUGGGUUCGUUUUCCCAUAUGCUCUGCUCCGGAUCCGAUGCAGAAUUUCGUCAGUGCCUCCUUGUUGUUCUCCGGGUACACAUCCUCUCUGCUUAUUGCCGAGACGUGUAUCAGGAGAACAGCAGGGAGGUGCUGCCGAAAUUUUGCGUCGGAUCCGGAGCAGAGCAUGGGAAAACGAACCCAAUCUACACAUACUCGGGUGGGAUUAGGACCUAUCUUUACCUAUUAGCGUGUAGGUUGCAUGGACGUAAUAAAACUGACAAACUCCAUUAACUGAUGGAUAUGGUUUGCUUAAUUAUGUAUAUAUUUCUUGUGUGUCCAGUAGGAAGUCAACAUGAGUGAUCGUGCAUGGAUGUACACCGGUUACACUAGUCAGAAAGUUUGGACUGAGGAAUGGUUAACAAAAACCAAGGGGUUUGUUAGAGCCGCAUUUGCAAAUGUGCCCCUGUGCCCGUUGCGACAACUAUAAAAAGAGGGACGAGCUUGAAAUGAGUAAAGACCUUCAGAAGUUUGGUUUUACGCCUGGUUACACGGUCUGGACAUUACAUGGUGAGUCUGCCCAACGUGCCAGAGCCGAGGUUCAUCGUCGCACCAACGAGCAUGGUACCGGGACCGCAUACAUGGUGCAAGAGUUUGACGACGCUCGGGACUCGGACGAAGAGAUGGAGGAAUCUGCAAAGGCCUUCACUGAAAUGUUUGAGUCCUCAAAACGUCCUCUCCACGAGCACACUGAGCUUUGUCAGCUGGAUGCCAUCUCACAAAUAAUGGCUAUGAAGGCUCAAUUCAACUUGGGCAGAGAAUGCUACGACGGGAUGAUGACACUAUUCGGACGAUUUCUACCCAAAGGCCAUGUGCUACCUCCAAACCUGUACCAGUCAGACAAAAUCCUUCAUGCUCUUAAGAUGCCCUGUGAGAAGAUACAUGCCUGUGAGAAAGGAUGUGUCUUAUUUAGGCUUCAGUAUGAGGACUUGAACUAUUGUCCCAUUUGCAAUUCUUCCAGGUAUGUUGUGGUAGACAACGGUAUGGGUGAGAAGACGCAGACCAAAAUACCCGUUAAUGUUCUUCGGUAUAUGCCAAUCAUACCAAUACUUCAACGUCUUUUCAUGGUCGAAGAGACGGCCAGACAGAUGACAUGGCACAAAACGGGCAAAAGAACCGAACUAGAUGCAGAUGGGAAUGUGAUGAUGGUGCACACAUCGGAUGGUGAAGCGUGGAAGUGCUUCGAUGAAUUACAUAAGGAAAAAAGGCAGAUCCAAGGCAUCCUCGAGUCGCCGUCAGCACAGAUGGGUUCAGUGUUUGGUCAGAUGGCAACCCCAUACAGUUGUUGGCCCGUGUUUGUCAUUCCACUCAAUCUCCCCCCGGGCAGAUUAUGCAAAGAAAGAACAUUUUCCUGACAUUGAUAAUUCUAGGGCCCAACUAUCCGGGGAAGAAUAUGAAUGUGUACAUGCAUCCGCUUAAGGACGAAUUGCAAGAAGCUUGGGAUAAUGGGUUCAAGACAUACGACGCCUUUAGCAAACAGAACUUCAUAAUGCGUGCCUGGUACAUGUACUCGACGCAUGACUUGCCGGCGUAUGCGCUAUUCGUUGGCUGGUGUGUGCAUGGAAGGUUCCCGUGCCCCACAUGCAAGGGAGCUCUUGAGUUUCGUUGGCUGACGGCAGGGCACAAGUAUAGUUACUUCGACUUGCAUAGACCGUUUCUACAUCCUGGCCAUAAGUUCAGGAAAGACAAGAAGAACUUCAUCAAAGGUAGAGUUGUCAAACACUCUGCACCACCUGCGUUGACAGGCCAACAGACCCUAGAUCAGUUAAACGCUCUCGAGCCAGAUCCAGAGCGUCCAGGGUAUUUCAAGGGGUAUAAUAAGGAACACGCCUGGACUCACAAGACAUGCUUCUGGGGUCUGCCUUACUUCAAAGACCUCCUUUGCCCACACAACAUCGACGUGAUGCACACUGAAAAGAAUAUCGCCGAAGCCAUUUUUGGUACAUUGUUCGGCAUAAAGGGGAAAUCAAAGGAUAAUACUAAGGCUAGAUUCGAUCAAGAGGAGCUAUGUGAUAGACCUUUACAAAACAUGAAAGAGCCGAAAGGAAAGGGGAAUUGGAAGAAGCGAAAGGCAUGGUUCAAUCUUGGAAGGCCAGCUAUGAAGGAAAUUAUUUUGUGGGUGAAAAUGCAGUUGAUGUUCCCCGAUGGGUAUGCAGCAAAUCUAAAGAGGGAAGCGAAUCUUCAAAAAUUGAAAAUAUUUGGUCUAAAAAGUCAUGAUUGGCACAUAUGGAUUGAGCGGAUAAUGCCAGUGAUGUUGCGUGGCUUCAUCCCUGAGGAUGAAUGGCUAGUACUGGCAGAGCUGAGCUACUUCUUCCGUGUUCUUUGUGCGAAAGAACUAUCGCCUGGCCUCCUAGAAGAAAUGGAACAGUUGGCACCGGAGUUGAUCUGCAAGUUAGAGAAGAUCUUUCCGCCAAGCUUCUUUAAUCCAAUGCAACACUUGAUUUUGCAUCUCCCGACCGAGGCACGAUUGAGGGGGCCCGUGCAAAAUCGUUGGUGCUACUCAACUGAGAGGAUGCAGAAGACGCUUCGAGCAAAAUGUAAAAAAUAAACGUAGAAUAGAAGCAUCGAUGGCGUAGGCAUUCAUCACUGAGGAGGCGGCAAACUUCGUGACAGCACACUACGAAGCCAAAAAUCGUCAUUUGCAUAAUCCGAAGCCUCGGUACAAUGCUGACGAACCUCAAAAGGGUCAAUCCAACCUCAGCCUAUUCAAAGGGAAUCUCGCACCAGCCAGUGGUUGGAAACCAGUAAGGUUGGAUGUUGAAGAAUGGCGGACCAUUUCGCUGUAUCUCUUCAACAACCUAAGAGAAGUGCGGCCAUACAUCGAGUAAGAUCUUGGUAUAUUGUUUCACAACUUCUAAUUCCUUUGAACUUCUCUUAUUCCUGGAUAUUUUAUGCAGUCGAUACGUCGCCAUAUUCUCGUAUGGAGCGGUGAUCCAAAAGGAUUCCGUCGAAGAGUAUGAGCUUCUGGCAAAACAAGGAGCCGAACAUCCCGGUUCAUCUCUUGGUUCAAAAAAGGGUAAUUUCCAUUAGACCCUUUCUUUUCUUUGGCUAAUUUUCGACUAAUGCAACAAUCCUUUCGUAUUAAACUUGUAGGCUAAUUCAGAGAUUAUGGAUGCCGAAUUGAGACAAGUAGCUAAUGGUUUUGACUAUAAGGUCCGUUCAUUUGACAAAUACGACAUCAACGGGUAUCGCUUUCGUACCUAUGGCAAAGAGCUAUCUAUGGCCGACCGAAAGUCUACAAAUUGUUGUGUCUCUGCUAUCGGCGAAGGAGGUAUCGAGUAUUAUGGAAGAGUUGAAGCAAUUUAUGAACUUGAAUUCUAUGGUGAAAACCCACCAAACGUCGUAGUCUUCAGAUGUUAUUGGUUCCAGCCGAGGGAGACUAGAAGGACUCAUGAACAUAUAGGGCUAGUCGAAAUCAAACAAAGCACCCAUUUGGAUGUUCCCGAUGUCUAUAUUACGGCUCAACAGAUAACCCAAGUUUUCUAUCUACCGUGGGCCUGUCAAACUGAUCCAAAUCUCAGUGGUUGGGACGUCGUUUAUGAAGUGUCGCCACGUGUUAGACCACCUCCCCCCAAUGAAAAGGAUUAUGAACCUCACAUUAACCAAGACACAUAUGACGAAGGAGAAUUCUUCCAAGAAACACGUCUUUCCAAAAAAAUGUUUCAAGAACCGCUCUACUCCACCCCAGAACAUUGAAGUAGACAACGAUAGUGAAUCCGACUUCGCCCCUGAGCCGGAACAAGAAGAGCCGGAAGAAGAAGAAGUUACUGCUGUAGAUGACAUGUCAAUGCUUGAACGAUUACGUAAAGGUGGCCUUCCACAUGAUGAUGCAUUUAUUAAUGAUGAUGAUGAGCACGUCAUUAGCGAUAGUGAUGAUGAUGAUGCUUUUAUUAAUGAUGAUGACGAGCACGUCAUUACCGAUAAUGAUUAUUAGGUAUUCAAAUUUUUAUGUUGUACUUGAUUUAUAUAGUUAUUUGUAUGAUUGUAUGAUUUAUAUAGUUGGUAUUUAUAAUUUUCUUACUUUGUAUGAUUGUUUCUUAUACAUAGUGCCAUGGUCUUGAUUUCCGCCCGGUCGGCCCUCGCCCACUUUAUGAUUCGGAUGUGGUAAAUUCUCUUUCAUAACUAUUUGUUGCAUUUCGCAUUUAUGACAAUUAUGGUCAUCAAGUUGACAUAGAGAUAUUUUAAUCUAGGAGGUAUGUGAACCGGAAUUUGAAACGGACCCUCUUGUCGAGAAGUUAAAUUUAGUUGAAAAAUAAAAUGAGUAUUUGAAAGAAAAAAUUAAAAGAAUUGAAGAAGAGAAGAUGACAUUGUUGAUGCCAUCGAUGAUCACAAGAUGAAGACGAAUGCAAUGCGCUUGAAGAUGGAUGCAAUGCGCCUGAAGCUUAAGAAGAUUAGAAAAUAUGCCAUUGAUAAUGAGGCUUGGUAUCAUUAUGCCGUUGGAUCAAUUGUUACCUUAGUUGCGAUCUUCAUCACAUUUAUUGUGAUGAGGGUAAGUUUUCUCUAGUGUUUUGCUUUACAAAUGGAUACUUAGCUUAUUUUCCUCCUAAAUGGCAUAAUUACCUAAGUUAGAUAAAAAAUAAGCUAUACUUAGCUUAUUCAGUUCAUUUAUGACAUACUUAGGUAAAAAUGGCAUGAUAAUCUUUGUUAGCUCCAAAAUGAUAUAGACUUAGCUCAUUUUCCUCGAAAAUGACAUAAUAACCUUACUAAGCUCUAAAAUGACCUAUUUACCUACCUUAGCUCUAAAAUGACCUACACUUAGCAUUUUUACCUAGCUUAGCAAUAAAAUGACAUUUUUACCUACCUUAGUUAGAAGAAGAAGAAGAUAAAGAAGAGGAGAGGAGAAAAAGAAAGAGAAGAAAAAAAAUCUUCUUCUUCUUCUUCUAACUAGUCUUCUUCUUCUUCAUCAUCAUCUUCUAACUAGUCUUCUUCUUCUUCUUCUUCUAACUAGUCUUCUUCUUCUUCUUCUUCUUCUAAAUUUCAUCUUUCCCAAUUUGCAGAUUUGCUUUACAUGAGGAAGCUUGGAUUCAUGGAGUGUACUAUUCUUCUGGUGCUUCCUUGUUGUUUAUGAAAACUUGUUUGGAUAUGUAUGUCUAUAUGGAUAUGUUGUUGGAAACUUGUUUCUGGUUAUGUAUAUAUGGAUAUUGGACUUUGUUGAACUAUGUUGUUGGAUUGGAUGAAAUAUGUUGUUGGACAUGCUGUUGGAUAUGUAUGCAUGCAUAUCUGUGUUUGAAACCAUGUCUAAUUAACGGGAUUUAAAUAAAAACAAGGGAUAUAUAGCCUCUUCGCCGUCUGCUAGCUGACGGCAAAGAGGACAUGUGGCAGUCACCUGUUCCAACUGGGAACACUGGCUGCCUAUUUGGUCAUUUUGCCGUUUGCUGGCAGACGGCAAAGUGACCAGCUAUGCCGUCUGCCAGCAGACGGCAAAGAUUCAAACCUCUUUGUCGUCUGCUGGCGGACGGCAUAUCUGGACACGUGGUAGCUUCCCAGUGCUGCCUAGCUGGGCUCUUUGCCGUCCGUCAGCGGACAGCAAAGAUCUUUGACUCUUUAUCGUCCGCUGGCAGACGGCAAAGAGCGUCGUUAACCCCCUAACGGCUCUCACGCCACCGCACUGCCGUCCACUGUCUUUGCCGUCUGCUGGCCUCGGAUGGCGGACGGCGUAAUCCUUUGCUGGCACGCGUUCAUCCGGACAGUUUGCCGUCCGCUAGCGGACGGCAAAGAAUUAUGUCGUCUGUGAUCUAUGCCUUUGCCGUCCGCCAUGGCGGACGACAAAGAAGCUGAUUCCAGUAGUGAUAGUGAAUGAUAACCUAAAUGAAUUCAAACGAGACCAUACAGUGAACAAGAUCAAACUGAUUGCCACGGCCGUGGUAAGCAGUGCGAUUAGAACCAGCAGGUUGCCUGGCAGUAGAGGAGCUUCAUGGGGGGCAAAGGGGGCCAUUGCCCCUCCCCCCAAACAUGCAUAACUUGGAGAUGUAUGUGCCUUGGAGCGUGCCGACGUCGUCCAGCGAGGCCGGCCCCGCAGGCUUGGGCGGCGUCACCUCCGUGCCGCCAUCCUCCAUGUCCUCCAGUGCCUCCGGGCAGGCCUUGAUGUCGUCGACGUUCUGCUCACCUUCGACGCUGAUGUGCUUCGCGGCGGUCUAGACUGUGACUCCGAGCUCGACUUGGAUAGACAUGGUUGCGGUUGCUGAAAUGGGCCCUGGACUGAGCGUAGCGAAGCACUGAUCAGGUGUGAGCCCUUUAUUUUACUGAGACGGGGCAGUGCAGAAUAGGAGUCAGCCCUAGGAUGAAAAGGUCCCCUCCUUAUCAACUGCUUAAUAGUUAAUUGCAUGAGACUACUCAUCAACAAGAUUUUCAAAAGCUCAUUGCAGAUUAAGAGAAUUACAACCAAGCACUAAUUACAUUAGGAAAUUUCUUCUUUUUAGCCCAUUUGGCCACAUUGCUCUUUUUUUUAGUUUGACCACACUACUAGAAGUCUCUCCAGACCCACUUUUUAGCCCAUUUGGCCACAUUGCUUGCUUAGAGAGAAUAUCACAUGAAAACCAAGUUUUGAUCCAAACCGGUGAAAACCAUGUUGAAACGAUGCUUUUAAGUUUCAAAAAAAUCUGAAAAAAUACAGAAUGUUAGAGUGUCAUGUCCUAUUACAUGUGAAAUUUCCAAGUUCAAACAAAACAACAUUUAUCAACAUAAAUGGUGUUUUGUUUGAACUUGGAAAUUUCACAUGUAAUAGAACAUUGGGUCUUGUUUCUGCAGGCUUGAAUAGACAGUAUAACCUGAACUUAACACAUACUAGGACUAUAUCUCGCCUUGCGCAAGCCGUAAGCUAGCAUCACAUGAAGGUUUCUCCCUCCUGUAGUUUACUGGGCCAUCCUGUGUUACUGUAUUUUUGCUGCUCGCUCGCUCGUUCGGGUUCGUUCGUUGCCCGGUUAGUUUUUCUUUUUUUCUCCUUAUCUAUUAGUUCCCCAAGUAAAGCUUGCAUCAAUUUUCUCUUUCUUGCUUUUUUUGUGUGUGUUUUACGGUUUUCAUCGGGAUUUUUAUUUUCUUUCUUUUUAUGUGUUCUUCUGUUUUCUUUGGUUUUUAUUCGUUUUCCUAUCUUUCUUAUUUUUUUGGGUUUCUUUGUUUUCUUCCUUUUCUUCUUUCCUCUUUCUUAGGUUUUAAUGUCGUUCUACAGUGAUAUUAGUUUUUCCCUUUUCCCUUUUGUUCUUUCUUUGGUUUUCACCGACAUUCUUUGUUUCUUUAUCUAUCUCUCUGGUUUUCUUGGGCUUGUUUUGCUUGCUUUUACAAGUUUUUUUCCUUUCUUGUUUUUUUUUCCUUUUUUGGUUUUCGUCAGUUUUGUUUUGUUUUUCAUUAUUUCUUUCUUUGUUUUCACAAUUUUUUUUCAUUCUUUUGCACUUUUGCUUUGCUUUUCUUUUUUGGGGGGUGUUCCUUCUUUUGCACUUUUGCUUUGCUUCUCUUUUUCAGCUUUCAUGGUUUUCUUUUGUUUUACUUUGUUUCUUUCUUUGGUUUUCAUCAUUUUUUUCUUUCUCUUUUCAUAUAGGAAGAAUAAUUUUUUCAUACAUGUUUACCAUUUUAUUCAAAUACAUGAGACAUUUUUCGCAUACAUCAGAAACAUUUUUUAUGUACAUGUUGAUCAUUUUUUAUGUGAAUCAUUUUUCAUAGAUAUUCUACACAUUUUUUAUACAUCAAACAUUUUUAUAUACACGUGUAACAUUUUAAAAAUACACUAUUAACACUUUAUAGAAUAUAAUGUUUUGAUGUCUAUUUUUUUCAUACAGUUUGGAACUUUUUUCUAUACAUCAGGAACAUUUUUUAUAUACACAUUUUAACUCUACUUUUUUUCAAAAUAAUUCCACCUUUUUUGUACACAUCCGGAACAUUUUUUAUACAUGUUUCGCACUAUGUAAAUACAUGAUUAACAUUUUUCUAUAUGCAAGUUUUUUUAUGUCUACUUUUUUGCAUACACUUUUUCCAUUUUUUUGUAUAUAUGAGGAACAUUUUUUCAUACACAUUUAACAUUUUCUAAUUACGUGAUUAAUUUUUUUCCAUAUGUAUAUGUUUAAGUCUACUUUCUUUCAUGCACGUUGUACAUUUUUCAUAUACAUUGGAAAAUAUUUUUUAUGCAUGCUUAACAUUUUUCAAAUGCAUGAUUAAUAUUUUUUCAGACACAUAUUCCAAAAUAUGAUUGUUCAAAUAUGUGUUAGUGUUUUUCAAAUAUGUCUUGAAACAAAAUUUGAAACCAUCAACAUUUUCUUAAUGCAAAUAUUUUCUCAAAUUUAAAUAUAUUUUGAAAUAUAUGUACUUUAGUUUUUUUAAUAUAACAAAAAGUAAAAAAAUAGAAUUCAAGAAAUCAAGGAAUGAACUGAGGAAACAAACAAACUAAGUACUACUGGGCUUGCCCAUUACCAAGUCGCGUCAGGCGAGCAAACGAUUCGUCACACUUGAUUCUCGCCAAGUUCGCAUGUAAUCAAGACAUUUUUCGAUAAAAGAACGCUUUUAUUUACUCUUACUGUAGCAUCAAGUGAAUACAAAACAUAAUGAGCGACACAUGGCCUCUGCAUAGCUAAGAUGCACACAACCUUAAACAAACAAGUCUAGCAAAGUACAAUUAAGAAACCGACAAGUUAUGUAAUCAAGACAUAGGACAUUUCUCAAAAGAAAAAUCUAGACAUAGCACGCCAUGGUUGGUUGGGUAGUCCGUAUGAUGAUACCCUUUUACAUAUGAACAUUAUGCAUUAAUAAAGUUAUGUGAGAAUUCUAAAAUUAUAUUUGUCUCGCUUGAAGCAAGACAUAUGGGCGCAUCUAUAAACCGGGAGCAACUAACUGAGGGGUACCCCUUGCAGGAGCCCCUGAAGGGUCAUUUUUGGUGGACACGGCCACCGCCACGUGUUGCGUGUUGGGCACUCCCUCGGCAUUAUAUAUUUUUAUUUUUCUGUACGCAUUUUCGGGGUUUAGAUGAGUUUUUGUUUUUGCUUUUUUGGUUUUGCCCUGUUUUUCCUAGGUUUUGAACAAAAAACGAUUUUUUAUGUUAAAAACUCAUUUUUUUUCCUUCCUGAGAGGCAUAAUUUUUCUUCUCAUGGAGGCACAGAUUUGCUUCUGCGAGAGACAUAACUAUGCCACACGGAAAGAGGAAAAACAUGUUUUGUUUUCAUGAGAGGUAUAGAUUUGCUUACAUGGAGACAUGGAUUUGCUUCCGCGAAAGGCAUUGCGCCUCUCGAAAAGGGGAAAACGUGUGUUUUCUUAAUUACGUGACAGAAGCAGAUUUGCUUCACGUGGAGGUACAAAUUUGUUUUCGCGAGAAGCAUAAUUGUGCCUCUCAAAAAGGAAAAGGGGGAUCGUGCUUCCGGCUUGUUUUUUCUUCUUCUUGAUUUUUUUCGUGAAAACAAGUUCGUUUAAACCUAUUAACAUGGGAUCUAGUUCCGAAAAUCUUGACGCGAUAAAUGCAACAGUGAAAACGGUCCGCGGUUUGCACGUACGAUUUAAGAGAUAAAACAUUUUGAAUAAAAGAAUCCAUGACAAAAGUGAAAACCCCCGGGUUGUGACAGGUGGCGCAUAUACAGUGCAACACUUGUUGGUAAAGUGGGAGUGACAUUUAAAAGGAUACCUCUUAAUUAGUGAUUUCGCCCUAAACUUGGGCAAAUCCUAUGCGGCGCCCUAAGCCGGUACAGGGCGCAUACACCUCUGAAAGAACAUGCGGUGCCCCCAUGUUUGGUUUUGGUAAUUGAUGACAAUCUCUAUGGACUAAUGGUUGCCUUGAGUUAUAUUUGAAGGAUUUGUCCAUAGGCAUUUCUUGAAGUUCAUGUGUUGGUUUCAAGGAGUUUAUGUGGUGACCAAGGUGUUAUUAAGGAAUUAUCCAAAGAUUGGUCAUGUGAGAGUUGAGCUUAUUGCAAGCAUGUCUUGGAGAAGAAGAUUGUGUGAUCAUUCAUGUAUAUCUUCAAGACAUCAUCCAAAAGAAGAGAGUUGAAAAGAUUCAAGGUUGAUCAAGACUAAGUCAAGAGUGAAUCAACUUGAUCAACUCACAAAGCGUAGAAGAUGUACCGAGAGGGAUCAAGCGAUCCCAUGGUGUGGUAAGCAUUGUCAAUUACGCUUUGUGUACUAACCCAUGAUCUUCGUGAGAGUUCUUUGUGGGGUUAGGUUGCGGUGUGCAAGUUCAAGUGAAGCAUCAUGAAGAGAUCAAAUGCUUGAAGCUUGCCGUCCAUUGUGGUGACAAUGGACUUGUGAAGAUGUGCGGAAGAGUGGCUCACCCAUAGUGGAGCAUGGGGGAGCAAUCAACUAGUCUUCAUCGAGCCAACGCAACCAAGAAAGGUGGUCCAACUUGAGGGAGUCAAGAUCUUCAUCAUCUAGCUCAAGUGGACCAUGUGCAAGGCAAAGGUUUGCUCUUGAUAGGUUUUCUAUUUUACCGGUCUCAUGAUGGUAGUUGGGAGACCGGGUUAUAGGAUCGAUUGCCGUACUAUCAAGGGGGGCUCUCGAUGAGUAGCUUGAUCGUAUCGUUCAUAGAGAGCUCAAACCAUUGCAUCCUUGCAUCAUCUUUAUUGGUUCUUGUUUGGUUCUUCUCUUUGUGAGUUUUGGAGCUUAUGGUCAUCUUGAUGACAAGCUCGAGUUCAUCGAAAACGGAGUUCACUCGCAUCUUCUAUGAUGUUUUCGAUGUUGGAGGUUAUGCCGGUUCUUCUCGGUUGGAGGUUUUACUCCUCUAUUUGUUGGCAUACCUCCCCUGCCUCUUCUUACUCUAUUUUGAUGCUACUCGUCUUCCUCUAUCCAACAAGCUUGAGUUUGCUCAAUUCGGAGCUCAUAUGAAGAAGUUUUGGUAGUUCUGUUUUUCUCCCUGCGGUAGUACCGCGGUGGCAGCGGUAGUACCGCUUGUAGCGUCAAGCGGUAGUACCGCGGCGGCAGCGGUAGUACCGCGGCGGCAGCGGUAGUACCGCUUGUAGCGUCAAGCGGUAGUACCGCUCUACUACCGCCUCGAUUUUGGGUCUGCUCUUUUUGUGUCGGGCUCAGCGGUAGUCGCGCGGCAGUAAGGCACGGUAGUUCCGCCUAUAAGCGGUAGUACCGCUCCGGCCGAGCGGUAGUACCGCUGUGGUGAGCGGUAGUACCGCUUAUAAGCGGUACUACCACCCUAAGGUUCAUGUUUUGUUGAUCCGUUUCCCUGCUUCUUCCGCCCGAGCGGUAGUACCGCUCGUGUGCGGGCUGAGCACAUAACGGUUGGAUUUCCCCCUCCUAUAAAAGGGGGUCUUCUUCCCCAAUGAACCUUAUCCUUUGAGCUCGUGUUCUUCCCCCAUUGUUGACCUUCUUCGAGUUUGCUAUCUCUCAAUCCCUCCAUGGAUUCUUGCUAGUUUUUGGGGGAAAAGAGAGAGGAGAUCUAGAUCCACAUUUCCACCAAUCACUUUCUCCUCUAGGUGAGGGGAACCCCUUGGAUCUAGAUCUUGGAGUUCUUGGUGUUCUCCUUCUUGUUCUUCCUCUCUUUUCCCUCCCUAGCAUUAGUUGCUUUGGUGGGAUUUGAGAGAGAAGGACUUGGGCACUUCGUGUGCCCUUGCCAUUGCAUUUGGUGCAUCGGUUUGAGUUCUCCACGGUGAUACGUGGAAGUUACAAGUUGAGAAGCUUAUUACUCUUGGGUGCUUGGUACCCUUGAGCUUGUUCCUCUUGGGUGCUUGGGCGCCCUAGACGGUUGGUGGUGUUCGGAGCUCAAUCAUUGUGGUGUAAAGCUCCGGGCAAGCGUCGGGGUCUUCAAUUAGGUUGUGGAGAUCGCCCCGAGCAAUUUGACGGGUUCCGGUGACCGCCCCCAAGGGUUGCCAAAGUGUACGGGUUCGGUGACCGCCCCCAAGGGUUGCCAUUUGUACGGGUUCGGUGACCGCCCUCAAGGGUCCCUUAGUGGAAUCACGGCAUCUUGCAUUGUACGAGGGCGUGAGGAGAUUACGGUGGCCCUAGUGGCUUCUUGGGGAGCAUUGUAACUCCACACCGCUCCAAACGGAGAUUAGCAUCCGCAAGGGUGUGAACUUCGGGAUACAUCGUCGUCUUCGCGUGCCUCGGUUAUCUCUUACCCGAGCCCUUUACUUAUGCACUUUACCUUGUGAUAGCCAUAUUGUUUUUGUCAUAUAUCUUGCUAUCACCUAAGUAGUUUUCUUGCUUAGCAUAAGUUGUGGGUGCACAUAGGUGAGCCUGUUGUUGUAGGUUUUGUGCUUGACAAAUUAACCGCUAGGUUUAUUCCGCAUUUGUUCAAGCCUCAACCGUAAUUAUUUUAAAGCGCCGGUUCAUCCCCCCUCUAGGCGACAUUCACGAUCUUUCAACCUCGUCCCCGAUGGGCUAACCCAUUUUCAUUUUUUCCCUAAACUGCUGCAAAAACACGACCUAAGAUGGGAUUCGAACCCAUGCCACGAUGGUUCAGCAUAACACGCGAUAACCAACCCAACCACUUUCACUUUAUGUGAUUAGGUACAUCUUCUUCCCUUUUUUAUUCUUUCUUUUUUAAAGCUCGCAAGUUUUUCUUCAAAAUUGAUGAAUUGUUUUUCAAUUUUAUGAACCUUUUUUCAAAUUCGUGAGCUUUUUCCAAAAUUGAUGAUUUAAAAAAAAUCGAUGCACCUUUUCAAAAUCGAUGAACUUUUUUAUAAUUCGAUGAACUUUUUUCAAAAUCGAUGAAGUUAUUCUCAAAAUUGAGGAACUUUUCAAAAUGGAUGAAAAUUUUAAAUCUGGUGAACCUUUUUUUUUCAAAUUCGAUGAACUUUUUUGAGAAUUGAUGAACUUGUUUUUCUAAUUGAUGAACUUUUUCAAAAUCUAUGAACCUUUUUUUUGAAUUCAUUAUUUUUUUGAGGUUUAUGGACUUUAUUUCAAAUUUCACGAACAUUUUUUAAUUCACAAAGUUUUUAGAUUUUUUGCUGGAUUUUUUUCAACGGUUACCGGUCAACUAGCGAACAGUUGCCCGGUCAACCGAGAUCGAGCGAAUGAGGCAACCUGGGCCAGCUAAGUUUGCGAGCCCUAGAACGUGUAACCGACGCUGAAGGCGCCCGUUAGGAGCUCCCCUAAACCAAUAUAAUAUCAAAAUUAGCAAACCAACAAUUAGGCCUCAUCUUACCCUAAAAAUGAUAGUUGGGCCUCAUCUCGCAGUUUCUAGAAAGAAUUACUGGCCUGGAUAAUAGGGCAAGCCCCUUUUGGCACUGCAGGCGCUAGUUACUACUGUUUCUGCAAACUGGCGCUUGCAGGCGCGUUAGCUGGGCCGACCCAUCUAGGGUUUUCUUUUUCUGUGCUUAAUCUCGCAAAAACAAAGCACGCUGGUAAUUAUUCGAACCCAAGACCAACCUAACAAAGUUAGUCUGGAGAAACCACCCCGCCAUCCCAGCGGGAUCUGUUAAAAAUGAACUUUCUCCUUCUUUUAGUCUUUCUUUUCCCUUUUUGUUUUUUCCUUUUUUUUCCUUUUCUGUUUUCUGUUUUUUAUAUUGGUUUUUUGAAUUGUUUGCAAAUACAUGAACUUUUCCUUUAAAUCGUUGAUUAUUUUUGUAAAUUCUAUGAACUUUUUUUCAAACUGAUGAACUUUUUUCAAAUCGAUGAUUUUUUUUCAAAUUCGAUGAACUUUUUUAAUUUGAUGAUUUUUUUACAAAUUUUAUGAACUUUUGUCAAAUUUGUUGAUUUUUUUCAAUAACCAUUAUUUUUUUUCCAAAUUCUAUGACCAUUUUUUAAAAUUGCUGAACUUUUAUCAUAUUUGAUGAACAUUUCUCAAAUUUGAUGAAUGUUUUUCAAAUUUGAUGAUUUUUCUUUUCAAAAUCUAUGAAUGUUUUUCAAAUUUGAUGAACAUUUUUUCAAGAUGGAUGAACAUUUUUUUGAAAAUCAAUGAACGUUUUUCAGGUUUGUGAACUUUUCUUCCAAAAUGAAGAAUUUUUUUCAAAAUCAUGAUUAUUUUCCAAAUAAUUCAAAAAAGUUAAGCGCUACAAUAGAUGAAUCGUUAUGUGCAAUAAAAUAGCGGUGCAGCAUUGUUAUUAUGCACUUGCCGCUGUUACUACAAGUGUCAAGUAUCUCGACUGGUUGGUGGCACUUGUACGUGUAGAGAGGAACAUUUUCGCGGUUUUUAUUUUUUGCGAGCUUUUGCGUUCACUGCUCUGCGCGUUUUGUGGGGCGGCCCACUCGUGUCGUCUUCAAGCCCCAGGACCGUGAACGGGCGCUUGCAGCGCUUUAUAGGAGCUCCUGGAUCAUAGUCCGUGACACUCCUAUCUCUCGCCGGCAGCACUGCCUGAACAACGACUCCGCUCCGGUUGCCGCCAUCCCAUCGUCGCCGCAGCCGACCCCGAUUCUGCAACGCGGCCGCCAUUUUCGAUACCAUAAGUUCACGGAUUUUUACUAAUUGUUUCAGAUUGAUGCUUUUGAUGUCCAUAGGCUUUGGCUUGUUUUCCGGUCGUAUGUACUCGAUGCAUGCUGCCGUUCUCAUAGCUCUAACUUGCCUCCGCACUACAGUUGCAAUCUGUCUUAUUAGUGACUAGUGACCUAACUCUUUACAGUUAGAAUCUGAGCAACUGAGUAGCAUGGGACAUUGAAAGAUACUACGAAGCAGUGCCGGAAGGAAGGUCCAUUUGUUUUAUUAGGUCGGUUGUACUCUUGAUGGUACUCAUUUGUUAACUGCAGGCCAUGCUCCAUAGCAGUGCAUCAUCUUGAAAAUAGCCUAUCUUAAACUCAUUGUAUGUGUAAUUAUGCAAACAUAAAGAACUGCAUUGAUUUUGUCUAAAAGUGACAUGAAAGACAAACAUACUGACAUAACUAUUCUGUCGACUAGCAGUAAUGUCUUUUCACUUCCUCUGCUGAAACUAUAGUUUGUUCAUAAAAAAAGUAGUACUAGUUUUGUUUUCUGGUAUUUCGAGUUCAUUAAAUUAGUCUUCUCGCGGCAAGUGAGGCUAGACUGUAAAGUGCUCUUGAAAUAUCAGCAUCGUCCAAACAUUAUUGACAGAAUUCAGGCGAUAAUCUGUAAAUAAAGAAAAGAAGCGCAUAGGUGUGUACUUGAACCUUUUUCAGGGUUUUGCUUUUAUUUAAACAAAUUGCAUUCAGUAGGUAGGCAACAUGUAUGUACAAAGAGGCACACCAACUUCUAAUAGCCGAGACUUGGCAUAUUUCCAUGGAUAUUGUGAAAGUUGUUACCGGCAAUAUAUAAUUAUCACUCUAGAGUUUGCUACUUGGAAUCUAAUGCAACAAUAUUUUGUGACGUUGACUAGAAAUGCUUACUACUAUGCAUGCUAGAAUGGUGCAUGUGCAAACCUUUUCGUAUCACAGCUGAAGUCUUAGGUUUAAUUCUCCGAACAGAUAUGGCUUGACCACGGCACAUGAUUGAUCUGUGAAAACUUCAUGUGAGCAGGGCACUUUAGUAUUUGCCAGUCUAUUUUUGGUACAUGAUAACGAUUUUCGUCUUUGCUGGCUAUUUUUGGUUACAUUGUUGUUACUCAAAAUGAAGUUCAAUUGUUUUUUCUUUAUUCUUCUUUGUAUGCAAGACUUGACUGUAGCUUCUGCAUGUAUAAUUUAUAUUGCUUGGUAUUUGACACACAAGAUGUACGAACCCUUGUAUCUGUGCUACCACUAGUGCAGAACCGGGCUUUAGCGCCGGUUCGUAAGGGCCUUUAGUGCCGGUUCUACAACCGACACUAAAGAGUGGAGACUAAAGCCCCUCCCCCCUACUACCGGUUCGGCACGAAUCGGCGCUAAAGUGCCACCACGUGGCACGAGCCAGGCCCGGGUGCUGGUAGACCAUUAGUACCGGUUGGUAGCACCAACCGGUACUAAAUGUUUGGGGGGUUUUUGGUUUUAAUUUUUAUUUUUCCAUUAAUUUUGUGUUUUCCAUUUAAUUCUUUUUUGUUUGCUGGUAUUUUAUGAUACUACAUAUUGUACACGUUAUGCAUAUAUAUAAAUAGAUUUUCUCGUAGAACCGAUCAUAUAUAUAUAUAUAUAUAUAUAUAUAUAUAUAUAUAAUCGAAUGUCUCACAACCACCAUUAAUUAUUCACACAUACACAUGUAUAUAUAUAUACAAUUUCUCCUACAUGUUGCCUUGGUGCCUUCGGAGCACGAUGACAAGUGGUUCAUGGGGGCGGUAGCGGGUAAUAGUAUUCUCCUUUGGGAUCUAUGACCUGGUCGAGCAAAAAUCCCGCUAUUUCCUCUUGAAGUGCUAGUAUGCGCUCCGUUGGUAGGAGCUGCUCCCGCACCUCUCUGAACUGUUAAGAAGGAGAUCAAUAUGCAUGUGUAUUAGUUGUGUGAAUAGAUAUCGAUAAUGGUGUAAAAAAUUGUGAAUAGUUUCUGACAAACGUACCCAGUCCUGUCUAUCAGAUCUGCUCCUUUCGGACGCCAUCAUGCGAAUGUUCUCGCAAACGUAGAUUGCACACAGAUCAGUCCCCGGCGCCUGCUUCAGGGCCUUUACGAGAAUUGAAUUUAAUCAGGUAAUAAUUAAUCAAGCAUGAUAAUUAAUUAAUGGUAUUGAAACAAGAAUUAAAGAGAUGGUAGCUAGCUAGCUAGUGCUACUUAAUUACUUACCUUGGGUCGAUACCAAAAUAGCUUUUCUCGCCAUUUUUCUGGAGUCAUCUGAUGCCUCUUCUUCAGCUUCUUCCCGCAUUGUCGGCUCAGCUUCUUCCCCCAUUGUUGUAUCAUCGUAUUCAGGGAACCCAUGGCCAGGAUAGCUGUCGUCAUCCUCUUCUUCUUCAUUGUCUUCCAUCAUAAUCCCUCUUUCUUUGUGCUUGGUCCAAACAUUAUAGUGGGGCAUGAAACCGGACUUAAACAGGUGGACGUGAAUGGUUCUUGACGUAGAGUAAUUGUGAUCAUUCUUACAGACAGCACAUGGACAAGGCAUAAAACCAUCCGCCCGCUUGUUUGCCUCAGCCGCAAGCAGAAAAGUUUGCACGCCAUUAAUGAACUUGGGAGAGCAUCGGUCAUCGUACAUCCAUUGUGAAAGAUCGUGGAUGUCGCCUAGAGGGGGGGGGGGUGAAUAGGCGCUUUAAAAUAAUAACGUUUAGGCUUGAACAAAUGCGGAAUAAACCUAGCGGUUAAUUUGUCAAGCACAAAACCUACAACAACUAGGCUCACCUAUGUGCACCAACAACUUAUGCUAAGCAAGAUAAAUAACUAGGUGAUAGCAAGAUAUAUGACAAGAAACAAUAUGGCUAUCACAAAGUAAAGUGCAUAAGUAAAGGGCUCGGGUAAGAGAUAACUGUUGGGGAACGUAGAACUGUUGGGGAACGUAGCAACUAGUGAUAUACCCCUUAGUGGGCUGGUUUGCCCCUUCCCCUUUGGCCCAUGAGGCCCUCCAACACUUGCCGGGGCUCCCGAAACACCUUUCGGUCAUGCUGGCCAUAGCCUGGUACCCCCGGAACACUUCCGCACUCCAAUACCCUUCGUCCAAUAUAUCGAUCUUCACCGCCGGACCAUUCCGGAACUCCUCGUGAUGUCCGGGAUCUCAUCCGGGACUCCGAACAACCUUCGGUAACCACAUACUAUUUCCCAUAACAACUCUAGCGUCACCGAACCUUAAGUGUGUAGACGCUACGGGUUCGGGAACCAUGCAGACAUGACCGAGACACCUCUCCGGCCAAUAACCAAUAGCGGGAUCUGGAUACCCAUAUUGGCUCCCACAUGUUCCACGAUGAUCUCAUCGGAUGAACCACGAUGUCGGGGAUUCAAUCAAUCCCGUAUACAAUUCCCUUUGUCUAUCGGUAUGUUACUUGCCCGAGAUUCGAUCGUCGGUAUCCCAAUACCUCAUUCAAUCUCGUUACCGGCAAGUCACUUUACUCGUUCUGUAACGCAUAAUCCCGUGGCUAACUCAUUAGUCACAUUGAGCUCAUUAUGAUGAUGCAUUACCGAGUGGGCCCAGAGAUACCUCUCCGUCAUACGGAGUGACAAAUCCCAGUCUCGAUUCGUGCCAACCCAACAGACACUUUCGGAGAUACCUGUAGUGCACCUUUAUAGCCACCCAGUUACGUUGUGACGUUUGGUACACCCAAAGCAUUCCUACGGUAACCGGGAGUUGCACAAUCUCAUGGUCUAAGGAAAUGAUACUUGACAUUAGAAAAGCUCUUAGCAAACGAACUACACGAUCUUGUGCUAUGCUUAGGAUUGGGUCUUGUCCAUCACAUCAUUCUCCUAAUGAUGUGAUCCCGUUAUCAAUGACAUCCAAUGUCCAUGGUCAGGAAACCAUAACCAUCUAUUGAUCAACGAGCUAGUCAACUAGAGGCUUACUAGGGACAUGUUGUGGUCUAUGUAUUCACACAUGUAUUACGGUUUCCAGUUAAUACAAUUAUAGCAUGAACAAUAGACAAUUAUCAUGAACAAGGAAAUACAAUAAUAACCAUUUUAUUAUUGCCUCUAGGGCAUAUUUCCAACAGUCUCCCACUUGCACUAGAGUCAAUAAUCUAGUUCACAUCACCAUGUGAUUAACACUCAAAGUUCACAUCGCCAUGUGACUAAUACCCAAGAGUUUACUAGAGUCAAUAAUCUAGUUCACAUCACCAUGUGAUUAACACUCAAUGAGUUCUAGGGUUUGAUCAUGUUAUGCUUACGAGAGAGGUUUUAGUCAACGAGUCUGCAACAUUCAGAUCCGUGUGUGCUUUACAAAUCUCUAUGUCAUCUUGUAGAUGCAGCUACCACGCGCUACUUGGAGCUGUUCCAAAUAACUGCUCUACUAUACGAAUCCGGUUUACUACUCAGAGUCAUCCGGAUUAGUGUCAAAGUUUGCAUCGUCGUAACCCUUUACGACGAACUCUUUUACCACCUCCAUAAUCGAGAAAAUUCCUUAGUCCACUAGUUACUAAGGAUAAGUUCGACCGCUAUCAUGUGAUCCAUUCCUGGAUCACUAUUGUACCCCUUGACUAACUCAUGGCAAGGCACACUUCAGGUGCGGUACACAACAUAGCAUAUUGUAGAGCCUACGUCUAAAGCAUAGGGGACGACCUUCGUCCUCUCUCUCUCUCUUCUGCCGUGGUCAGGUCUUGAGUCUUACUCAAUACUCACACCUUGUAACACAGCCAAGAACUCCUUCUUUGCUGAUCUAUUUUGAACUCCUUCAAAAUCUUGUCAUGGUAUGUAUUCAUUUGAAAGUAUUAUUAAGCGUUUUUGAUCUAUCCUUAUAGAUCUUGAUGCUCAAUGUUCAAGUAGCUUAAUCCAGGUUUUCCAUUGAAAAACACUUUUCAAAUAACCCUGUAUGCUUUCCAGAAAUUCUACAUCAUUUCUGAUCAACAAUAUGUUAACAACAUAUACUCAUCAAAAAUUCUAUAGUGCUCCCACUCACUUCUUUGGAAAUAUAAGUUUCUCAUAAACUUUGUAUAAACCCAAAAUAUUUGAUUAUCUCAUCAAAGCAUACAUUCCAUCUCCGAGAUGCUUACUCCAGUCCUUAGAAGGAUUGCUGGAGCUUUGCAUACUUGUUAGCAUAUUUCAGGAUUGAAAAAACCUUCUGGUUGUAUCACAUACAACCUUUCCUCAAGAAAAUCGUCGAGGAAACAAUGUUUUGACAUCCUAUCUGCAAGAUUUCAUAAAUAAUGCAGUAACUGCUAAUAUAAUUUCAACAGACUCUUAGCAUCGCUACGAGUGAGAAAGUCUCAUCGUAGUCAACUCCUUGAACUUGUCGGAAAACAUCUUAACGACAAGUCGAGCUUUCUUAAUGGUGACACUUACCAUCAUUGUCCGUCUUCCUUUUAAAAUCCAUGUGUACCCAACAGACUUACGACCAUCAAGUAGUUCUUUCAAAGUCUAUACUUUGUUUUCAUACAUGGAUCCUCUCGGUUUUAUGGCCUCAAGCCAUUCGUCGGAAUCUGGGCCCACCAUCGCUUCUCCAUAGCUCGUAGGUUCAUUGUUGUCUAGCAACAUGACUUCCAAGACAGGAUUACGUACCACUCUGAAGUAGUACGCAUCCUUGUCGUCCUACGAGGUUUGGUAGUGACUUGAUCCGAAGUUUCAUGAUCACUAUCAUAAGCUUCCACUUCAAUUGGUGUAGGUGCCACAGGAACAACUUCCUGUGCCCUGCUACACACUAGUUGAAGUCAUGGUUCAAUAACCUCAUCAAGUCUCCACCAUCCUCCCACUCAAUUCUUUCGAGAGAAACUUUUCCUCGAGAAAGGACCCGUUUCUAGAAACAAUCACUUUUGCUUGCAGAUCUGAAAUAGGAGGUAUACCCAACUGUUUUGGGUAUUCUAUGAAGAUGCAUUUAUCCGCUUUGGGUUCAAGCUUAUCAGCCUGAAACUUUUUCACAUAAGCGUCGCAGCCCCAAACUUUUAAGAAACGACAGCUUAGGUUUCUCUAAACCAUAGUUCAUAUGGUGUCGUCUCAACGGAAUUGCGUGGUGCCCUAUUUAAAGUGAAUACGGAUGUCUCUAAUGCCUAGCCCAUAAACGAUAGCGGUAAUUCGAUAAGAGACAUCAUGGUAUGCACCAUAUCCAAUAGGGUGUAGUUAUGAUGUUCAGACACACCAUCACACUAUGGUGUUCCAGGCGGUAUUAAUUGUGAAACACUUUCCACAAUGUCUUAAUUGUGAAAUCACUUGAACCUUUCAAUAAUUCAGACUUGUGUUUCAUCAAGUAAAUACACUCAGCAUCUACUCAAAUCAUCUGUGAAGUAAGAACAUAACGAUAUCCACUGCAUGCCUCAGCACUCAUUGGACUGCACACAUCAAAAUGUAUUACUUCCAACAAGUUGCUUUCUUGUUCCAUCUUACUGAAAACGAGGCCUUUCAGUCAUCUUGCCCAUGUGGUAUGAUUUGCAUGUCUCAAGUGAUUCAAAAUCAAGUGAGUCCAAACGAUCCAUCUGCAUGGAGUUUCUUCAUGCAUAUAUACCAAUAGACAUGGUUCGCAUGUCUCAAUCUUUUCAAAAACGAGUGAGUCCAAAGAUCCAUCUACAUGGAGCUUCUUCAUGCGUUUUAUACCAAUAUGACUCAAAUGGCAGUGCCACAAGUAUGUGGUACUAUCAUUACUAUUUUAUAUCUUUUGGCACGAACAUGUGUAUCACUACGAUCGAGAUUCAUUUUAGGUGCAAGACCAUUGAAGGUAUUAUUCAAAUAAACAGAGUAACCAUUAUUCUCCUUAAAUGAAUUACCGUAUUGCGAUAAACAUAAUCCAAUCAUGUCUAUGCUCAACACAAACACCAAAUAACAAUUAUUUAGGUUUAACACCAAUCUCGAUGGUAGAGGGAGCGUGCGAUGUUUGAUCACAUCAACCUUGGAAACACUUCCAACACAUAUCGUCAUCUCACCUUUAGUUAGUCUCCAUUUAUUCCGUAGCUUUUAUUUCGAGUUACCAACACUUAGCAACCGAACCGGUAUCUAAUACCCUGGUGCUACUAGGAGUACUAGUAAAGUACACAUUAAUAUAAUGUAUAUCCAAUAUACUUCCGUCGACCUUGCCUGACUUCUCAUCUACUAAGUAUCUAGGGUAGUUCUGUUUCAGUGACCGUUCCCCUCAUUACAGAAGCACUUAGUCUCGGGUUUGGGUUCUACCUUGGGUUUCUUCACUAGAGCAGCAACUGAUUUGCCGUUUCAUGAAGUAUCCCUUCUUGCCCUUGCCCUUCUUGAAACUAGUGGUUUUACCAACCAUCAACAAUUGAUGCUCCUACUUGAUUUCUACUUUCGCGGUGUCAAACAUCGCGAAUAGCUCAAGGAUCAUCAUAUCUAUCCCUGAUAUGUUAUAGUUCAUCACGAAGCUCUAGUAGCUUGGUGGCAGUGAAUUUGGAGAACCAUCACUAUCUCAUCUGGAAGACAACUCCCACUCGAUUCAAGCGAUUGUAGUACUCAGACAAUCCGAGCACAUGCUCAACGAUUGAGCUUUUCUCCCUUAGUUUGUAGGCUUAAGAAACUUGUUAGAGGUCUCAUACCUCUUGACGUGGGCACUAGUCUGAAAUCCCAAUUUCAGUCUUUGGAACAUCUCAUAUGUUCUACGACGUUUCAAAAACGUCUUUGGCGCCUCAAUUCUAAACCGUUAGCAUUACGCACUGAACUAUCGCGUAGUCAUCAAAACGUGUAUGUCAGAUGUUCGCAACAUCCACAAACCACGCUCGAGGUUCAGCACACCGAGCGGUGCAUUAAGGACAUAAGCCUUCUGUGCAGCAAUGAGGUCAAUCCUCAGUUUACGGACCCAGUCCGCAUAAUUGCUACUAUCAACUUUCAACUAAAUUUUCUCUAGGAAUAUAUCUUAGUAGAACUAAAGCGUAAGCUACGACAUAAUUUGCAAAGACCUUUUGACUAUGUUCAUGAUAAUUAAGUUCAUCUGAUUAUUUAAUGAACUUCCACUCAGAUAGACAUCCCUCUAGUCAUCUAAGUGAUACAUGAUCCGAGUCGACUAGGCCAUGUCCGAUCAUCACGUGAGACAGACUAGUCAUCAUCGGUGAACAUCUCCAUGUUGAUCGUAUCUACUAUACGACUCAUGUUCGACCUUUCGGUCUCUUGUGUUCCGAGGCCAUGUCUGUACAUGCUAGGCUCGUCAAGUCAACCUAAGUGUUUCGCAUGUGUAAAUCUGGCUUACACCCGUUGUAUGCGAACGUUAGAAUCUAUCACACCCGAUCAUCAUGUGGUGCUUCGAAACAAUGAACCUUUGCAACGGUGCACAGUUAGGGGGAACACAUCUCUUGAAAUUUUAGUGAGGGAUCAUCUUAUUUAUGCUACCGUCGUUCUAAGCAAAUAAGAUGUAAACAUGACAAACAUCACAUGCAAAUCAUAAAGUGACAUGAUAUGGCCAAUAUCAUCUUGCGCCUUUUGAUCUUCAUCUUCGAGGCGCGGCAUGAUCACCUUCGUCACCGGCAUGACACCAUGAUCUCCAUCAUCGUGUCUGUCACGACCAGUUUUUCAAUAAAAUAUUUAUUGAGAGACCAAUCCCUUUUACGGACCAGUAAAGAAGAAUUCCUUCUCACUGGUAGACAAUAUCUUGGUCACAGAAGGAAAAUACCAGGAGUACUGAAUAUGAUACAAGGUUGAGCGGAGACUGCUCAACAAUUUAUUACAUGCACGCCGAUAAAACAUAACGGCGAAUAGGGUGGCAUAACUACUAACUCACGAUAACAACGGUGGUGGAAAAAUCACAGCGGAGCGGGUGAUAUGACUCCUGAAAACUACAGCUCUUCGAGCGUCAGGGUGAAGCUCGAGGAGAUUUAUUGCGGGUGGCGGAAGCGUAUAUUAUACAAGUGACCAAUAUCCAGGAUCGCACGGGGCUCACUGGGACUCCUCUAGGCGUCGGAAUCACUAUCAAACUCUUCAUCCAUGAGAUCGCCUUCGUCAACAUCUGGCCAAAUCAACAAGCCAGGUGAGUACUAUGAAAGUACUCGCAAGACAGUUCGGACAUAAGAUAUAACAAAUGUAAACAUGAUGCAUAUGAACAGGUUAACAAGUGUACUCAGACAUAGAGAUAAUACUGCACGGGAAAUAAAAGAGAAGUCGGGCGGUAGUCCUCCCGAAGUCCCAAAAAAAUAAUAUACUGGGUGCCAAACGAGGGUCUGAAUGACUCCUCGAGAGGAAAAUGCAAGAAUAAUAAUAAUGCCGCAGUCGGGCGUCGAGGCGACACCACAUAAAGGGCUUAUAAUGGAAAAAUAAAUGACAGUGCGUGCCACAGUCGGACGUGUGAAGCGACAUCACAUAAAGGGCUUAUAUUGAAAGUAAAAGACAAACAUGCCACAGUCGGACGUCUGAGCGACAUCACAUAAAGGGCUUAUAUUGAAAGUAAAAGACAAACAUGCCACAGUCGGACGUCUGAGCGACAUCACAUAAAGGGCUUAUAUUGAAAGUAAAAGACGAACAUGCCACAGUCGGACGUCUGAGCGACAUCACAUAAAGGGCUUAUAUUCAUAACUUAGUAGCUCAUGAAUUUUAAAUCAUAUCAAGAGAAUAAUCAGGCAUGAGAUAAACAACAGGGUUAGUCCAUCCACAGGAAUAACGUUCAGCCAAGUUUACUACUCACGCUCGCUUACCGGAAAGAAAAAUACACCACAAGGUUAUGACAUAGACAUGGUACGCUGAUCACGUUACUUGACCAUGGAUACGAUGACUCGGAAGGAUUUGACUCUGCAGAGUUUGUACUUUAACCACAGCCAACGGAUUUCAGUAGUCACGGGGACUAGUUCCGCUUACGGUGUUUUGGAAGAAACACGUCUAACCAGUACACACCCAUUCAACAUUCCGAAUCCAGGAAUCAUCCUCGGCAACGUUCAAGAAAAACCUUGAGACGGGGAGGCUACAACCUCGCGUAGCAUGGGAUCAAAUUUCUAUACGCGCGCUCUAAGGGGUGCCCCCCCUCUCGGUCCCAACCAGAAACACCCAUGCCCCCUGACCGGAUGACUGGCUUUAAUCCAGGGCCAUGGAACCCUCAUCCCGGCCCCUCUGUUUGAAGUGUACACGGAAAGAGGUUACCAACUUACUAAACCGCAUUCUGGCAGAAAACAUGUGGUAGCACGGAAGGGGGAAGAACGAUAACGUGACUCCGUCCGCGUUAACGUCGGAAUUAAACGGAUGACUUAAGGCUGGCAUGCUACAAUAGUACCACCUUACUGCCCUUCAUGUCACCACAUGACUAGGCCAUCUCUCAUCAGAGAUCACAGUAACUUUGGAACACACGGGUAGUUGCCUCACAUGCAACGAGAUACUCACCGAUACUCAUAUGCCAUGCACAACCAUUCAAGCAAACAUGAAAAAAACCCGUCAUAUCAAAGGUUCAAACAUGCUUGCCUGGUUCGGAGAAGUCGGAGUCUAGCUCGGCGAAGUUCGCGGCUCCGUCACCUCUCCCGGAACCUACGGUAUAGCGAAAAUGCAUACUAGCGUGAAAACCAACGCGUGCGUAAAAGUUGUUCCAAUUUUUUUUCAAAUAAAUCCCAUAAAAAACUAGACAAAAUUAUAAGACUGUCAGAAAAAGAAUCACUCAAAAAUCACUUUUUAUUAAAAAGUUAUAAGGGUUUCUGUCCAGGGACUCAUCUGUAAUGAAACAGAAAAGUUCCAGGGGCUUAACUGAGAAAACAGAAAACGGUUCGAAUAGAAACGCGCCAGCCCACUGAGAAAACGUACUCUGCCCGAAGGCGCCAACAGAAAACGCUUCGGGGGUGAAAGAAGAGAGGCUGACAUGGGGGGUCCACAUGUCAGGUUUGAAAAACCUCGCCGGCGCCCGAAGGCUGCGGUGGUCGCCGGCGUCGAACCACGGCGAGUCAGGGAGAUCGGAGUGUACCAAGAGUACCAGCGUGUCCUUCCACGUUGGUGGGUGGUGGACUUGGGCGUCGGAGAGCACCACGUCGACGGCGACACUUUCUCCGGCGGACGGCGGCUCGGGCGAUGGUGGAGAACUCCGGUGGGUGCUGCAAACUUCGAAUUGAAGCGCGGGUCAGAAGGAGGGAUGCACUAGAGAGCUACUGGCAAGAGAUGGGAGGCAGAGGUGCACGCACGGGAGCGAAUCGAGCUGGAUCCCGUGGCGGGUCGCGGCGGCCGAAGUUGGGGAAGAAGGCUCCCUCGGGGCUCUUCCAGUGGCUAGGCGUGGUGUUGGAGGUAUGCAGAGGUGGUGUGGGUUCUAGCUGGAGCUCGGGGCCUCUAUUUAUAGGCGGCUCGAGGGGGUGGCCGUGAACGGGAUCACUCCGGCGAGCAAUUACGGCGAGGCGUCGGCUUGGCAAGGAGCUUAAGUGGCCAGGCAGCAUCAGUGAGGUGUACUGGUGUCGUUCCCCCGCUAAUCCUGGUCGGUCUUGGCGUAAUGGUGCCGGUCCGCGGCGGGGUGGCCGUACGGGCACGACGGUGGCAGAGAGCGUGCUCCGCGCCCAACGGUUCACGACGAGGGUGGCAGCGUGCAUGGGGGAGUGGAAGGCCACGCGGCGGCCUCCGGUGGCUUGGGCGGCGCUGGGUGGCGCCGUCUGCGCUGCGCCUCUCUCUGGUGGCCGCAAAGCCGCCGCUGGCGUCGGUCACGGGGCGGCGCACCUCCUCCUGCUCGUCGCCGACGCCCGCAACCUUUCAGGCGCUCGUGCGGUGCAGAGGACAAGGGGGAGGGGACAGGAAACACGGCGACACCGGGGCACUGGCGAGAUCGACAACAGACACUGAAGAAACGACAGUAGAUCAGACACUGUUAACUGAAUUUGACUGAACCUUAGAGAAACAGUGUCCAGCAGGUGUUCGAUGAAAUGAUUUGGUAUGAAGAAAAUUUUUCCUGGAGCUGGGACUUGGUGAGGUGACCUCUCAAUGCACCCAGAGGCUGCCUGAUUUUUCUCAGAAUUUUUGGAGAAGGAUUUGAAUGAAUUUCAUCAAAUUUGGCAAAUCUGGUCCAAACUUGCAGUAAGUAUAGUUUGAAAAAUUUGAACUGGAGACCAGUGGAUCUUCAUGGAUCUUGGUUGAGGGUUCAAAGGACUAGGAAGGGAAAAAGGUUUGGGGGCAAAAAUCAAAGCAGAAAGAGUAGUUCCUUUGUAAACCUCCAAGGAUCAAGAUAUAAGGCAGAAAUUGUUUUUGAUAAGAAAUAAAAGGAAAUAAUUAUAUGGAGAGGUUCAACUUGCUGGAUUUGAGGCAUAUCAUGAUCCAAAGAUGAGAAAAGGCUUAUGGGAGGGAAUUUACCCUGAGGUCAUGGCAAGAGGAAUUUUUGAAAGUGGAAAAGGAUCAUUCCAAAAGCUAUAGGGCCUUUUAAAGAAAUUUUCAAAGGACAUUUUUCUAAGAGGAAAAACAUUUUGGUGUGAGUCAAAAUAAAAGAGGAAAACCUCCAAGACCAAAAUCAAGUUUUGAGUGAAUCCAAAAAUGAAGCACUAGUCAUAAAAGAAAAUAUUUUGAGAGGGAGAGUUCUUUUAGAAGAAAAGUUUAAAUCACCUCCCUCAAAACAAGGAAAAGUUUUGAAAAAGCCAAAUAAAAUUUUGGGUGUCACAACACUUACCCCCUUAGGAAAAAUCUCGUCCUCGAGAUUUCAGCUGAUCCUCAAAUAGGUAUGGAUACUCUGCCUGGAGAAAAUCUUCCCUUUCCCAUGUAGCUUCAUCCUCAGUGUGGUUGCUCCACUAAACCUUGAAAAUUUUUAUCGUUUUCUGCCGGGUCCUCCUUUCAGACUCUUCCAAUAUCUUUACUGGCCGUUCUCUGUAGGUGAGAUCUGGUUGCACAUCGAUGCUCUCAUGAGGUACAUGCUUCUCCGGGUUACUUACACAUUUCCUCAAUUGUGAGACGUGGAACACAUCAUGGACGUCUGACAGUUCCUUGGGUAGGUCUAGUUUGUAGGCUACUGUGCCUCUUCGUGCUGUCACACAGACUGGUCCGAUAAAUCUCGGGGCUAGCUUCCCCUUAAUUUUGAACCGUUGUAGGCCCCUCAUAGGAGACACUCGUAGGUAUACGGAAUCACCGGGUUCAAAGCUGACCUCACGAUGUUUUUGAUCGUAGUAGCUCUUUUGUCGGCUUUGGGCUGUCUUGAGUCUGUCCCUGAUCUGUUUAACUUUCUCCUCGGCCUCCUUGAGCAUGUCUGGGCCGAAGAUACGACUGUCACCUGUUUCUGACCAAUUCAGUGGGGUACGACACCUCCGUCCGUACAAUGCUUCAAAAGGUGCCAUCUGUAAGCUGGCUUGGUAACUGUUGUUGUAAGCAAACUCGGCAUACGGCAAACUCUCUUCCCAACUGGAUCCAUAGGUGAGCACACAGGCUCUCAGCAUAUCCUCUAGGAUUUGGUUCACACGUUCCGUUUGUCCAUCAGUUUGAGGGUGGUACGCUGUACUGAAAGCUAGUUGCGUGCCUAGAGCUUGUUGUAAGUGAUCCCAGAAUUUAGAGACAAAUUGAGUGCCUCGGUCGGAUAUUAUAGUCUUUGGGACCCCAUGCAAACAAACUAUACGGGAGAGAUAAAGCUUGGCUAGCCUUUGAGUGGAGUAGGUUGUCUUCACGGGAAUGAAGUGAGCAACCUUGGUUAGCCUAUCUGUGAUGACCCAAAUGGCAUCAUUUCCGCGUUGCGAUCGAGGUAGUCCGACAAUAAAGUCCAUCCCAAUCUCAUCCCACUUCCAUUCAGGUAUCCUGUUUGGCUGGAGUAGCCCUGCUGGCUUUUGAUGUUCGGCCUUGAUGCGCUGACAUGAAUCGCAACAAGCAAUAAAUGCGGCUAUAUCUCUUUUCAUACCGUGCCACCAAAAUCUUUCCUGAAGGUCUUUGUACAUUUUGGUCCCUCCAGGGUGGAUCGAGUAUGGAGCGGUAUGGCUUUUGGUUAGGAUUUGUUGCUUGAGUUCCUUAUCGUCAGGUAUGCAAAGUCUGUCCCCGUACCAUAAGAUUCCUUCAUUGUCUGUGACGAACUUUGACGCUUUGCCAAGACUCAUUUUUCUCUUUAUACCUCCGAUGCUGGGAUGCUCCUGCUGGGCCUUCUUAAUUUGUUCCAUAAGGGUGGGAUGUAUUUCUAGGUUUGAUAUGGUGCCCUCAGAGACUAACACCAUGCUGAGUCUAGCGAACUCUUGCUGAAACCCAGGCCUCAAGUUUUGUGGACUGUCGUCAUCCGGGCUAGGGUUCCGACUAAGGGCAUCAGCCACUACAUUUGCUUUCCCUGGAUGGUAGUGAAUACCGACAUCAUAGUCCUUGACCAAUUCCAACCAGCGCCGUUGGCGUAAAUUUAGUUCUGGUUGUGUGAAAAUAUAUUUGAGGCUCUUAUGGUCCGUAUAUAUUUCACAACGAUUUCCCAACAGAAAGUGCCUCCACUCCUUGAGUGCACGGAUGACCGCUGCUAGCUCCAGGUCAUGAGUUGGAUAAUUUUCCUCAUGCUUCCUUAGUUGCCUGGAAGCAUACGCGACAACUCUGCCAUCCUGCAUCAGCACACAUCCAAGGCCUUUCCGGGAGGCGUCACAAUAUACUUCAAAACUCUUGUGUAUAUCUGGCACGGUCAAAACUGGUGCUGUUGUUAGUUUCUUCUUGAGUUCUUGGAAGCUUUCCUCACACGCUUCCGUCCAUACAAACUUCUUAUCUUUCUUGAGCAACUGGGUUAUUGGUUUUGCCACAGUGGAGAAUCCUUCAAUAAAUCUCCGGUAAUAUCCAGCCAUUCCUAGGAAACUCCGCACAUCUGUCACGUUGGCGGGUGGCUUCCAGUCAAGUAUGGCUUUGACCUUUUCUGGGUCUACGGCUAUGCCUUCUUGGUUUAAUACGUGGCCUAGGAAACCAGCUUGUCUUAGCCAAAAUUCACACUUGCUAAAUUUGGCGUACAAUUGGUGUUUCCUUAAUUCUCCCAAAACGAUUCUGAGAUGCUCAGCAUGCUCUUCUGGUGUUCUUGAAUAAACCAGAAUGUCGUCAAUGAACACCACAACAAAUUUUUCCAUAAACUUCAUAAACACUUUGUUCAUGAGGUGGACGAAAUAAGCGGGGGCGUUCGUCAAUCCAAAAGGCAUCACUGUGAACUCAUAUAAUCCGUAUCUGGAGGUGAAUGCUGUUUUAGGGAUAUCUUCUGUCCGUACUUUCAAUUGAUGAUAUCCUGAUCUCAAAUCAAUUUUUGAGAACACCUUGGCUUGCGUGAGCUGGUCAAACAAAUCAUUUAUCCGUGGCAUCGGAUAUUUGUUUUUGAUGGUGACCAUAUUGAGAGCUCGAUAGUCUAUACAUAGUCUCAGUGUCCCAUCCUUUUUCUUGGCGAAUAAAACUGGCGAACCCCAAGGUGAGGAGCUGGCUCGAAUAAAUCCCUUGUCCAAUAACUCCUUUAUCUGCUUCUUCAACUCUACCAAUUCUGAGGGUGCCAUCUUGUAAGGUUUCUUAUAGAUAGGAGUGGUGCCAGGUGCUAGUUCAAUGCUGAACUCAAUCUCUCGGUCUGGUGGCAUGCCUGGUAGUUCUUCAGGAAAUACGUCUGGAAACUCACACACCACUGGAACUUUUCUCAAUACUGAAAUGUCCACUUUGUUCAAUUUUGGUUGUCGUGACCGUGGUCUUUCUUGAGCUGUAACCUUAAUUGUCUUGCCUUGAUGAUGGGUGAGGAUCACUAUCCGAUUGAAACAAUCAAUAAAUCCUUUGUUGGUGGUCAACCAGUCCAUCCCUAGGAUGACAUCCAGUCCUUUAUUUUCCAACACGAUAAGAUUAGCUUGAAACUGUAGUCCUUCGAACUCAAUGAUCACUCCUCGGCAGUAACUCUGAGUGAUUUGCUUAUUUCCAGGGGACUUGAUGACCAUAGAUUUUUCCAAAGGAAGUAUCGGAAAACCAUGUUGCAAAACAAAACUCUUCGAAAUGAACGAAUGGGAAGCUCCAGAAUCAAACAAAACCGUGGCAGGUACUGUGUUGACAGGGAACGCACCGAGCACGAUGUCUGGGGCAUUCUGGGCUUCUUCCCUGGUCACAUGGUUCAGGUGACCCUUCCUGUGGUUGUUGUUGGGAUUGAAAUUGUUGCGCUUGGGGGCUGGAUUAUUCCCACCAUUGUUCGGCUUGGGGGCCGAGUUCCUUGGCUUUGGACACUGUUUGGCAUAGUGCCCUUCUUCACCACAAGCAUAGCAUGUGACCCCUGGACGGUACGUGAACUCCUUGUCCCUGGCAUCAAACUGUCUGACUGGCCUUAGAUCAGUAGUCGUGGAUUUCCUUGCUUCUGUCCUUGGAACCUCAGUCUUGCUUCGGUUGUUCCGAGCAAGAGUCGUCUUGUCCCUCUUUCGCUUACGGAUAUCUUCCAGACCACGGCGCUCAUUCUCCAAGGUAAUGGCCUUAUCAACCAGAGUUUUAAAAUCUGGGAAAGUGUGUACGACCAGUUGGCAUCUUAGUGCCGGUGCCAGGCCGUCCAAGAAUUUCUCCAUCCUCUUGUUCUCCGUCAUGUACUCGUCGUAGGCAUAACGAGAUAGCUGGGUAAACUGACCGUUGUAUUCUGUCACUGACAUGCCUCUUUGCUUGAGGUCGUCAAAUUCUCUCUUCUUGAUUUUUAUGAUGCUCCUGGGGAUGUGUGCCCCACGAAAGCCUUCCUUGAACUCUUCCCAGGUGAUGUUGUGUUCACUGGGAUGCAUGUGUAGGAAGUUUUCCCACCAUGCUGCAGCUGCUCCAGUAAGGUAGUGUGGUGCAUAAAGCACCUUCUCAUUAUCUGAACACUGAGCAAUAAUCAGCUUCCUUUCGAUGUCACGAAGCCAAUCAUCGGCUUCAAGUGGCCUAUCGGUGUGAGCAACGUUGAAGGGCGUGUCUUCUGCAGUUCAGACAACUUGGAGUUUGGUUGGUACGGCUCACGGUGAUUUCCCAUGUUGAUGACGUGGUUCAUCAUCUCUUGGUGAUGUUGCUGGCUUUGUUCGAAGAGACGGCAUACUUGAGACAAGGCUGCUUCGCUGUCUUGUUGACUAGACUGUCCCUGAGUGAAGUUGUUGCUGGUCUGAGUUCCAAAUACUUCUUCUGGCUGAUUGGGCAUGGAACGAGUCCAUGGACGAGACAUUUUCCACUCUGGGGUAUUAUUUGCAAAAUCAUGAGAAGAACUGUGAGGUGCAAGGAAAAUCUUGCAAAGACAAAAAAAUUUAAAAGAUCUCAAGAUUUUUCAAGAAAACAUAAACGAUUUUGCAUGGAGAAGAACUGCUUAGCACAUAUCUUACACGCGAAACGCAAACAUACGAUACAGCACUCAGGAUGUGUGUACACAUUCCUGACAUGUUAUUAAGGCACAUCUCUCCGGAAAGCAGCGUACACAACUACUACGAGCUAACGCACAGAUAAAACUCAUCAAACAUAACAUACAUGCAGACACAACGCGCGGCUACUCGGUGCUCUCAGUCGGGGAUGGUGAAGAUCUCCUUUCCCUUGCCGAGGGUAAGACCCAGCGGUGCAGGAGACUCAACCUCCACCUCCUCCCUAGCAGGCUCCUGGCGCGUAGCACUGCGCUGCGGUGAUGGCGUGGGUGCGACAGGCGGUACAGCUCGGAUUAGAGUAGGAGCGAUGACUCGAUCGAACUCCUCAGUGGUAGACAGACGAUGAGCAGUGGCCAAAAUGGCCGGCGCAUAAGAUGCUGAAGACGAGACGAAUGUCAGUGGCGGUGCCGUGUGAAGAAGCUCCUUCCUGCAGGCAGGACCGCCCCGAACUAAGUCCAUGCGGGCAGCCACAAGAUCAUCCACGAGGUUGUCAAAAGAUUCCUCCAGAGCUUUGAGAUACUCAACCACCAUCUCGAUGGCCUCAUCUCGCUCUCCCCUAUGGCAGGCGAAUGCAUAGUGACAAGUAUAUGGCACAUGGCAUGGGAGGUAGCGGUAGCGACGAGUCUUCAUCGUAGGAAGGAUGUCCCGAAGGCGAGCUAUCGCCUCACGGGCAGCCAUCUGCAUGGCAUGCCUCUCCGUAGGCAUGGCCCUUCCCACAAAACGGAAGUGGCGUGAUGCAAAACGUCCUCCCUUGAAUUGCACCACGGCUUGGUGCAUAGACACGUCGUCGCUGAGCUUGUGCUGGUAAAGUGUGAACUCCGGACGAGUCGCUGGCCCGAUCGCGAGCUUGGUGAUGGAAACGAGGAGCUUGAGAAACCCCUCUGGCACGUUUGUGAACACUCGAGUCUCGCAGUUGCUGCCAGCCAUCUACAAAAGUAGGCAAAAAUUCUGAGUAGUCAUGUCAUAAAUUUAUGAUGACCAACAGAAAAUAGCUACAAUUGCAAAAUGCUGAAAAAGCACAAAAGACGCUAAUAACCAAUUAGCGAUCGCACCUAGUGGCUUCCUACAGUCAGCCUGGCUCUGAUACCAAGCUUGUCACGACCGGUUUUUCAAUAAAAUAUUUAUUGAGAGACCAAUCCCUUUUACGGACCAGUAAAGAAGAAUUCCUUCUCACUGGUAGACAAUAUCUUGGUCACAGAAGGAAAAUACCAGGAGUACUGAAUAUGAUACAAGGUUGAGCGGAGACUGCUCAACAAUUUAUUACAUGCACGCCGAUAAAACAUAACGGCGAAUAGGGUGGCAUAACUACUAACUCACGAUAACAACGGUGGUGGAAAAAUCACAGCGGAGCGGGUGGUACGACUCCUGAAAACUACAGCUCUUCGAGCGUCGGGGUGAAGCUCGAGGAGAUUUAUUGCGGGUGGCGGAAGCGUAUAUUAUACAAGUGACCAAUAUCCAGGAUCGCACGGGGCUGACUGGGACUCCUCUAGGCGUCGGACUCACUAUCAGACUCUUCAUCCAUGAGAUCGCCUUCGUCAACAUCUGGCCAAAUCAGCAAGCCAGGUGAGUACUAUGAAAGUACUCGCAAGACAGUUCGGACAUAAGAUAUAACAAAUGUAAACAUGAUGCAUAUGAACAGGUUAACAAGUGUACUCAGACAUAGAGAUAAUACUGCACGGGAAAUAAAAGAGAAGUCGGGCGGUAGUCCUCCCGAAAUCCCAAAUAAAUAAUAUACUGGGUGCCAAACGAGGGUCUGAAUGACUCCUCGAGAGGAAAAUGCAAGAAUAAUAAUAAUGCCGCAGUCGGGCGUCGAGGCGACACCACAUAAAGGGCUUAUAAUGGAAAAAUAAAUGACAGUGCGUGCCACAGUCGGACGUGUGAAGCGACAUCUCAUAAAGGGCUUAUAUUGAAAGUAAAAGACAAACAUGCCACAAUCGGACGUCUGAGCGACAUCACAUAAAGGGCUUAUAUUGAAAGUAAAAGACAAACAUGCCACAGUCGGACGUCUGAGCGACAUCACAUAAAGGGCUUAUAUUGAAAGUAAAAGACGAACAUGCCACAGUCGGACGUCUGAGCGACAUCACAUAAAGGGCUUAUAUUCAUAACUUAGUAGCUCAUGAAUUUUAAAUCAUAUCAAGAGAAUAAUCAGGCAUGAGAUAAACAACAGGGUUAGUCCAUCCACAGGAAUAACGUUCAGCCAAGUUUACUACUCACGCUCGCUUACCGGAAAGAAAAAUACACCACAAGGUUAUGACAUAGACAUGGAUACGCUGAUCACGUUACUUGACCAUGGAUACGAUGACUCGGAAGGAUUUGACUCUGCAGAGUUUGUACUUUAACCACAGCCAACGGAUUUCAGUAGUCACGGGGACUAGUUCCGCUUACGGUGUUUUGGAAGAAACACGUCUAACCAGUACACACCCAUUCAACAUUCCGAAGCCAGGAAUCACCCUCGGCAACGUUCAAGAAAAACCUUGAGACGGGGAGUCUACAACCUCGCGUAGCAUGGGAUCAAAUUUCUAUACGCGCGCUCUAAGGGGUGCCCCCCUCUCGGUCCCAACCGGAAACACCCAUGCCCCCUGACCGGAUGACUGGCUUUAAUCCAGGGCCAUGGAACCCUCAUCCCGGCCCCUCUGUUUGGUGUGUACACGGAAAGAGGUUACCAACUUACUAAACCGCAUUCUGGCAGAAAACAUGUGGUAGCACGGAAGGGGGAAGAACGAUAACGUGACUCCGUCCACGUUAACGUCGGAAUUAAACGGAUGACGUAAGGCUGGCAUGCUACAGCAGUACCACCUUACUGCCCUUCAUGUCACCACAUGACUAGGCCAUCUCUCAUCAGAGAUCACAGUAACUUUGGAACACACGGGUAGUUGCCUCACAUGCAACGAGAUACUCACCGAUACUCAUAUGCCAUGCACAACCAUUCAAGCAAACAUGCAAAACACCCGUCAUAUCAAAGGUUCAAACAUGCUUGCCUGGUUCGGAGAAGUCGGAGUCUAGCUCGGCGAAGUUCGCGGCUCCGUCACCUCUCCCGGAACCUACGGUAUAGCGAAAAUGCAUACUAGCGUGAAAACCAACGCGUGUGUAAAAGUUGUUCCAAAUUUUUUUCAAAUAAAUCCCAUAAAAAUUAGACAAAAUUAUAAGACUGUCAGAAAAAGAAUCACUCAAAAAUCACUUUUUAUUAAAAAGUUAUAAGGGUUUCUGUCCAGGGACUCAUCUGUAAUGAAACAGAAAAGUUCCAGGGGCUUAACUGAGAAAACAGAAAACGGUUCGAAUAGAAACGCGCCAGCCCACCGAGAAAACGUACUCUGCCCGAAGGCGCCAACAGAAAACGCUUCGGGGGUGAAAGAAGAGAGGCUGACGUGGGGGGUCCACAUGUCAGGUUUGAAAAACCUCGCCGGCGCCCGAAGGCUGCGGUGGUCGCCGGCGUCGAACCAUGGCGAGUCAGGGAGAUCGGAGUGUACCAAGAGUAUCAGCGUGUCCUUCCGCGUCGGUGGGUGGUGGACUUGGGCGUCGGAGAGCACCACGUCGACGGCGACACUUUCUCCGGCAGACGGCGGCUCGGGCGAUGGUGGAGAACUCCGGUGGGUGCUGCAAACUUCGAAUUGAAGCGCGGGUCAGAAGGAGGGAUGCACUAGAGAGCUACUGGCAAGAGAUGGGAGGCAGAGGUGCACGCACGGGAGCGAAUCGAGCUGGAUCCCGUGGCGGGUCGCGGCGGCCGGAGUUGGGGAAGAAGGCUCCCUCGGGGCUCUUCCAGUGGCUAGGCGUGGUGUUGGAGGUAUGCAGAGGUGGUGUGGGUUCUAGCUGGAGCUCGGGGCCUCUAUUUAUAGGCGGCUCGAGGGGGUGGCCGUGAACGGGAUCGCUCCGGCGAGCAAUUACGGCGAGGCGUCGGCUUGGCAAGGAGCUUAAGUGGCCAGGCAGCAUCAGUGAGGUGUACUGGUGCCGUUCCCCCGCUAAUCCUGGUCGGUCUUGGCGUAAUGGUGCCGGUCCACGGCGGGGUGGCCGUACGGGCACGAUGGUGGCAGAGAGCGCGCUCCGCGCCCAGCAGUUCACGACGAGGGUGGCAGCGUGCAUGGGGGAGUGGAAGGCCACGCGGCGGCCUCCGGUGGCUUGGGCGGCGCUGGGUGGCGCCGUCUGCGCUGCGCCUCUCUCUGGUGGCCGCAAAGCCGCCGCUGGCGUCGGUCACGGGGCGGCGCACCUCCUCCUGCUCGUCGCCGACGCCCGCAACCUUUCAGGCGCUCGUGCGGUGCAGAGGACAAGGGGGAGGGGACAGGAAACACGGCGACGCCGGGGCACUGGCGAGAUCGACAACAGACACUGAAGAAACGACAGUAGAUCAGACACUGUUAACUGAAUUUGACUGAACCUUAGAGAAACAGUGUCCAGCAGGUGUUCGAUGAAAUGAUUUGGUAUGAAGAAAUUUUUUCCUGGAGCUGGGACUUGGUGAGGUGACCUCUCAAUGCACCCAGAGGCUGCCUGAUUUUUCUCAGAAUUUUUGGAGAAGGAUUUGAAUGAAUUUCAUCAAAUUUGGCAAAUCUGGUCCAAACUUGCAGUAAGUAUAGUUUGAAAAAUUUGAACUGGAGACCAGUGGAUCUUCAUGGAUCUUGGUUGAGGGUUCAAAGGACUAGGAAGGGAAAAAUGUUUGGGGGCAAAAAUCAAAGCAGAAAGAGUAGUUCCUUUGUAAACCUCCAAGGAUCAAGAUAUAAGGCAGAAAUUUUUUUUGAUAAGAAAUAAAAGGAAAUAAUUAUAUGGAGAGGUUCAACUUGCUGGAUUUGAAGCAUAUCAUGAUCCAAAGAUGAGGAAAGGCUUAUGGGAGGGAAUUUACCCUGAGGUCAUGGCAAGAGGAAUUUUUGAAAGUGGAAAAGGAUCAUUCCAAAAGCUAUAGGGCCUUUUAAAGAAAUUUUCAAAGGACAUUUUUCCAAGAGGAAAAACAUUUUGGUUUGAGUCAAAAUAAAAGAGGAAAACCUCCAAGACCAACAUCAAGUUUUGAGUGAAUCCAAAAAUGAAGCACUAGUCAUAAAAGAAAAUAUUUUGAGAGGGAGAGUUCUUUUAGAAGAAAAGUUUAAAUCACCUCCCUCAAAACAAGGAAAAGUUUUGAAAAAGCCAAAUAAAAUUUUGGGUGUCACAGUGUCUUCAUGAAGUUGUCUCGCCAACUAUUACUUCUACUACUAUGGCUAACGGUUAGCAAUAAAGUAAAGUAAUUACAUGGCAUUUUUCAUUGACACACAGGUCAUACAACAAAUUAUGACAACUCCUAUGGUUCCUGCCGGUUGUCAUACUCAUCGAUAUGCAAGUCGUGAUUCCUAUUACAAGAACAUGAUCAAUCUCAUACAUCACAUAUAUCAUUCAUCACAUCCUUUUGGCCAUAUCACAUCACAUAGCAUACCCUGCAAAAACAAGUUAGACGUCCUCUAAUUGUUGUUGCAUGUUUUACGUGGCUGCUAUGGGUUUCUAGCAAGAACGUUUCUUACCUACGCAAAAGCCACAACGGUGAUAUGCCAAUUGCUAUUUACCCUUCAUAAGGACCCUCUUCAUCGAAUCCGAUCCGACUAAAGUGGGAGAGACAGACACCCGCUAGCCACCUUAUGCAUCAAGUGCAUGUCAGUCGGUGGAACCUGUCUCACGUAAGUGUACAUGUAAGGUCGGUCCGGGCCGCUUCAUCCCACAAUGCCGCCGAAUCAAGAUAAGACUAGUAACGGCAAGCAAAUUGAACAAAUCAUCGCCCAUAACUACUUUGUGUUCUACUCGUGCAUAGAAUCUACGCAUAGACCUAGCUCAUGAUGCCACUGUUGGGGAACGUAGCAAUAAUUCAAAAUUUUCCUACGUGUCACCAAGAUCAAUCUAGGAGAUGCUAUCAACAAGAGAGAGGGAGUGCAUCUUCAUACCCUUGAAGAUCGCUAACCGAAAGCGUUACAAGAACGCGGUUGAUGGAGUCGUACUCACGGCGAUUCAAAUCGCGGAAGAUCCGAUCUAGCGCCGAACGGACGGCGCCUUCGCGUUCAACACACGUACAGCCCGGGGAUGUCUCCUCCUUCUUGAUCCAGCAAGGGGAGAGGAGAAGUUGAGGGAGAACUCCAGCAGCACGACGGCAUGGUGGCAAUGGAGCUCGUGGUUCUCCGGCAGAGCUUCGCUAAGCACUACGGAGGAGAAGGAGGAGGUGUAUGAGGAGGGAGGGCUGCGCCAGGGAAGAGGUGUGGCUGCCCUCCCACCCCUCCACUAUAUAUAGGGGCAAGGGGAGAGGGGGAGGCGCCCUAGGGUUUCCCCUAGGGGGCGGCGGCCAAGCAGAUUGGAUCUCCCUAGGGAAAAUCCUAGGGAGACUUGCCCCCCAAGCCAAGCAGGUGGAGGCUUGCCCCCCAAGCCAGGUGGAGGCGCCCCACCUCCCCAAGUAACGUGGAAAGGGUGUGGGGGCACACCACCCCUUAGUGGGCUGGUUUGCCCCUCCCCCUUUGGCCCAUGAGGCCCUCCAACACUUGCUGGGGCUCCCGAAACACCUUUCGGUCAUGCUGGCCAUAGCCUGGUACCCCCGGAACACUUCCGGACUCCAAUACCCUUCGUCCAAUAUAUCGAUCUUCACCGCCGGACCAUUCCGAAACUCCUCGUGAUGUCCGUGAUCUCAUUUGGGACUCCGAACAACCUUCGGUAACCACAUACUAUUUCCCAUAACAACUCUAGCGUCACCGAACCUUAAGUGUGUAGACGCUACGGGUUCGGGAACCAUGCAGACAUGACCGAGACACCUCUCCGGCCAAUAACCAAUAGCGGGAUCUGGAUACCCAUAUUGGCUUCCACAUGUUCCACGAUGAUCUCAUCGGAUGAACCACGAUGUCGGCGAUUCAAUCAAUCCCGUAUACAAUUCCCUUUGCCUAUCGGUAUGUUACUUGCCCGAGAUUCGAUCGUCGGUAUCCCAAUACCUCGUUCAAUCUCGUUACUGGCAAGUCACUUUACUCGUUCUGUAACGCAUAAUCCCGUGGCUAACUCAUUAGUCACAUUGAGCUCAUUAUGAUGAUGCAUUACCGAGUGGGCCCAGAGAUACUUCUCCGUCAUACGGAGUGACAAAUCCCUGUCUCGAUUCGUGCCAACCCAACAGACACUUUCGGAGAUACCUGUAGUGCACCUUUAUAGCCACCCAGUUACGUUGUGACGUUUGGUACACCCAAAGCAUUCCUACGGUAUCCGGGAGUUGCACAAUCUCAUGGUCUAAGGAAAUGAUACUUGACAUUAGAAAAGCUCUUAGCAAACGAACUACACGAUCUUGUGCUAUGCUUAGGAUUGGGUCUUGUCCAUCACAUCAUUCUCCUAAUGAUGUGAUCCCGUUAUCAAUGACAUCCAAUGUCCAUGGUCAGGAAACCAUAACCAUCUAUUGAUCAACGAGCUAGUCAACUAGAGGCUUACUAGGGACAUGUUGUGGUCUAUGUAUUCACACAUGUAUUACGGUUUCCAGUUAAUACAAUUAUAGCAUGAACAAUAGACAAUCAUCAUGAACAAGAAAAUACAAUAAUAACCAUUUUAUUAUUGCCUCUAGGGCAUAUUUCCAACAGUCUCCCACUUGCACUAGAGUCAAUAAUCUAGUUCACAUCACCAUGUGAUUAACACUCAAAGUUCACAUCGCCAUGUGACUAAUACCCAAGAGUUUACUAGAGUCAAUAAUCUAGUUCACAUCACCAUGUGAUUAACACUCAAUGAGUUCUAGGGUUUGAUCAUGUUAUGCUUACGAGAGAGGUUUUAGUCAACGAGUCUGCAACAUUCAGAUCCGUGUGUGCUUUACAAAUCUCUAUGUCAUCUUGUAGAUGCAGCUACCACGCGCUACUUGGAGCUGUUCCAAAUAACUGCUCUACUAUACGAAUCCGGUUUACUACUCAGAGUCAUCCGGAUUAGUGUCAAAGUUUGCAUCGUCGUAACCCUUUACGACGAACUCUUUUACCACCUCCAUAACCGAGAAAAUUCCUUAGUCCACUAGUUACUAAGGAUAAGUUCGACCGCUAUCAUGUGAUCCAUUCCUGGAUCACUAUUGUACCCCUUGACUAACUCAUGGCAAGGCACACUUCAGGUGCGGUACACAACAUAGCAUAUUGUAGAGCCUACGUCUAAAGCAUAGGGGACGACCUUCGUCCUCUCUCUCUCUCUCUUCUGCCGUGGUCAGGUCUUGAGUCUUACUCAAUACUCACACCUUGUAACACAGCCAAGAACUCCUUCUUUGCUGAUCUAUUUUGAACUCCUUCAAAAUCUUGUCAUGGUAUGUAUUCAUUUGAAAGUAUUAUUAAGCGUUUUUGAUCUAUCCUUAUAGAUCUUGAUGCUCAAUGUUCAAGUAGCUUAAUCCAGGUUUUCCAUUGAAAAACACUUUUCAAAUAACCCUGUAUGCUUUCCAGAAAUUCUACAUCAUUUCUGAUCAACAAUAUGUUAACAACAUAUACUCAUCAAAAAUUCUAUAGUGCUCCCACUCACUUCUUUGGAAAUAUAAGUUUCUCAUAAACUUUGUAUAAACCCAAAAUAUUUGAUUAUCUCAUCAAAGCAUACAUUCCAUCUCCGAGAUGCUUACUCCAGUCCUUAGAAGGAUUGCUGGAGCUUUGCAUACUUGUUAGCAUAUUUCAGGAUUGAAAAAACCUUCUGGUUGUAUCACAUACAACCUUUCCUCAAGAAAAUCGUCGAGGAAACAAUGUUUUGACAUCCUAUCUGCAAGAUUUCAUAAAUAAUGCAGUAACUGCUAAUAUAAUUUCAACAGACUCUUAGCAUCGCUACGAGUGAGAAAGUCUCAUCGUAGUCAACUCCUUGAACUUGUCGGAAAACAUCUUAACGACAAGUCGAGCUUUCUUAAUGGUGACACUUACCAUCAUUGUCCGUCUUCCUUUUAAAAUCCAUGUGUACCCAACAGCCUUACGACCAUCAAUUAGUUCUUUCAAAGUCUAUACUUUGUUUUCAUACAUGGAUCCUCUCGGUUUUAUGGCCUCAAGCCAUUCGUCGGAAUCUGGGCCCACCAUCGCUUCUCCAUAGCUCGUAGGUUCAUUGUUGUCUAGCAACAUGACUUCCAAGACAGGAUUACGUACCACUCUGAAGUAGUACGCAUCCUUGUCGUCCUACGAGGUUUGGUAGUGACUUGAUCCGAAGUUUCAUGAUCACUAUCAUAAGCUUCCACUUCAAUUGGUGUAGGUGCCACAGGAACAACUUCCUGUGCCCUGCUACACACUAGUUGAAGUCAUGGUUCAAUAACCUCAUCAAGUCUCCACCAUCCUCCCACUCAAUUCUUUCGAGAGAAACUUUUCCUCGAGAAAGGACCCGUUUCUAGAAACAAUCACUUUUGCUUGCAGAUCUGAAAUAGGAGGUAUACCCAACUGUUUUGGGUAUUCUAUGAAGAUGCAUUUAUCCGCUUUGGGUUCAAGCUUAUCAGCCUGAAACUUUUUCACAUAAGCGUCGCAGCCCCAAACUUUUAAGAAACGACAGCUUAGGUUUCUCUAAACCAUAGUUCAUAUGGUGUCGUCUCAACGGAAUUGCAUGGUGCCCUAUUUAAAGUGAAUGCGGGUGUCUCUAAUGCCUAGCCCAUAAACGAUAGCGGUAAUUCGAUAAGAGACAUCAUGGUAUGCACCAUAUCCAAUAGGGUGUAGUUAUGAUGUUCGGACACACCAUCACACUAUGGUGUUCCAGGCGGUAUUAAUUGUGAAACACUUUCCACAAUGUCUUAAUUGUGUGCCAAACUCGUAACUCAGAUAUUCAUCUCUAUGAUCAUAUCAUAGACAUUUUAUCCUCUUGUCACGACAAUCUUCAACUUCACUCUGAAAUCACUUGAACCUUUCAAUAAUUCAGACUUGUGUUUCAUCAAGUAAAUACACUCAGCAUCUACUCAAAUCAUCUGUGAAGUAAGAACAUAACGAUAUCCACUGCAUGCCUUAGCACUCAUUGGACUGCACACAUCAAAAUGUAUUACUUCCAACAACUUGCUUUCUUGUUCCAUCUUACUGAAAACGAGGCCUUUCAGUCAUCUUGCCCAUGUGGCAUGAUUUGCAUGUCUCAAGUGAUUCAAAAUCAAGUGAGUCCAAACGAUCCAUCUGCAUGGACUUUCUUCAUGCAUAUAUACCAAUAGACAUGGUUCGCAUGUCUCAAUCUUUUCAAAAACGAGUGAGUCCAAAGAUCCAUCUACAUGGAGCUUCUUCAUGCGUUUUAUACCAAUAUGACUCAAAUGGCAGUGCCACAAGUAUGUGGUACUAUCAUUACUAUUUUAUAUCUUUUGGCACGAACAUGUGUAUCACUACGAUCGAGAUUCAUUUUAGGUGCAAGACCAUUGAAGGUAUUAUUCAAAUAAACAGAGUAACCAUUAUUCUCCUUAAAUGAAUUACCGUAUUGCGAUAAACAUAAUCCAAUCAUGUCUAUGCUCAACACAAACACCAAAUAACAAUUAUUUAGGUUUAACACCAAUCUCGAUGGUAGAGGGAGCGUGCGAUGUUUGAUCACAUCAACCUUGGAAACACUUCCAACACAUAUCGUCAUCUCACCUUUAGUUAGUCUCCAUUUAUUCCGUAGCUUUUAUUUUGAGUUACCAACACUUAGCAACCGAACCGGUAUCUAAUACCCUGGUGCUACUAGGAGUACUAGUAAAGUACACAUUAAUAUAAUAUAUAUCCAAUAUACUUCCGUCGACCUUGCCUGACUUCUCAUCUACUAAGUAUCUAGGGUAGUUCUGCUUCAGUGACCGUUCCCCUCAUUACAGAAGCACUUAGUCUCGGGUUUGGGUUCUACCUUGGGUUUCUUCACUAGAGCAGCAACUGAUUUGCCGUUUCAUGAAGUAUCCCUUCUUGCCCUUGCCCUUCUUGAAACUAGUGGUUUUACCAACCAUCAACAAUUGAUGCUCCUACUUGAUUUCUACUUUCGCGGUGUCAAACAUCGCGAAUAGCUCAAGGAUCAUCAUAUCUAUCCCUGAUAUGUUAUAGUUCAUCACGAAGCUCUAGUAGCUUGGUGGCAGUGAAUUUGGAGAACCAUCACUAUCUCAUCUGGAAGACAACUCCCACUCGAAUCAAGCGAUUGUAGUACUCAGACAAUCCGAGCACAUGCUCAACGAUUGAGCUUUUCUCCCUUAGUUUGUAGGCUUAAGAAACUUGUUAGAGGUCUCAUACCUCUUGACGUGGGCACUAGUCUGAAAUCCCAAUUUCAGUCUUUGGAACAUCUCAUAUGUUCUACGACGUUUCAAAAACGUCUUUGGCGCCUCAAUUCUAAACCGUUAGCAUUACGCACUGAACUAUCGUGUAGUCAUCAAAACGUGUAUGUCAGAUGUUCGCAACAUCCACAAACCACGCUCGAGGUUCAGCACACCGAGCGGUGCAUUAAGGACAUAAGCCUUCUGUGCAGCAAUGAGGACAAUCCUCAGUUUACGGACCCAGUCCGCAUAAUUGCUACUAUCAACUUUCAACUAAAUUUUCUCUAGGAAUAUAUCUUAGUAGAACUAAAGCGUAAGCUACGACAUAAUUUGCAAAGACCUUUUGACUAUGUUCAUGAUAAUUAAGUUCAUCUAAUUAUUUAAUGAACUUCCACUCAGAUAGACAUCCCUCUAGUCAUCUAAGUGAUACAUGAUCCGAGUCGACUAGGCCAUGUCCGAUCAUCACGUGAGACAGACUAGUCAUCAUCGGUGAACAUCUCCAUGUUGAUCGUAUCUACUAUACGACUCAUGUUCGACCUUUCGGUCUCUUGUGUUCCGAGGCCAUGUCUGUACAUGCUAGGCUCGUCAAGUCAACCUAAGUGUUUCGCAUGUGUAAAUCUGGCUUACACCCGUUGUAUGCGAACGUUAGAAUCUAUCACACCCGAUCAUCAUGUGGUGCUUCGAAACAACGAACCUUUGCAACGGUGCACAGUUAGGGGGAACACAUCUCUUGAAAUUUUAGUGAGGGAUCAUCUUAUUUAUGCUACCGUCGUUCUAAGCAAAUAAGAUGUAAACAUGACAAACAUCACAUGCAAAUCAUAAAGUGACAUGAUAUGGCCAAUAUCAUCUUGCGCCUUUUGAUCUCCAUCUUCGAGGCGUGGCAUGAUCACCUUCGUCACCGGCAUGACACCAUGAUCUCCGUCAUCAUGAUCUCCAUCAUUGUGUCUUCAUGAAGUUGUCUCGCCAACUAUUACUUCUACUACUAUGGCUAACGGUUAGCAAUAAAGUAAAGUAAUUACAUGGCGUUUUUCAUUGACACGCAGGUCAUACAAUAAAUUAUGACAACUCCUAUGGCUCCUGCCGGUUGUCAUACUCAUCGAUAUGCAAGUCGUGAUUCCUAUUACAAGAACAUGAUCAAUCUCAUACAUCACAUAUAUCAUUCAUCACAUCCUUUUGGCCAUAUCACAUCACAUAGCAUACCCUGCAAAAACAAGUUAGACGUCCUCUAAUUGUUGUUGCAUGUUUUACGUGGCUGCUAUGGGUUUCUAGCAAGAACGUUUCUUACCUACGCAAAAGCCACAACGGUGAUAUGCCAAUUGCUAUUUACCCUUCAUAAGGACCCUCUUCAUCGAAUCCGAUCCGACUAAAGUGGGAGAGACAGACACCCGCUAGCCACCUUAUGCAUCAAGUGCAUGUCUGUCUCACGUAAGUGUACGUGUAAGGUCGGUCCGGGCCGCUUCAUCCCACAAUGCCGCCGAAUCAAGAUAAGACUAGUAACGACAAGCAAAUUGAACAAAUCAUCGCCCACAACUACUUUGUGUUCUACUCGUGCAUAGAAUCUACGCAUAGACCUAGCUCAUGAUGCCACUGUUGGGGAACGUAGCAAUAAUUCAAAAUUUUCCUACGUGUCACCAAGAUCAAUCUAGGAGAUGCUAUCAACGAGAGAGAGGGAGUGCAUCUUCAUACCCUUGAAGAUCGCUAAGCGGAAGCGUUACAAGAACGCGGUUGAUGGAGUCGUACUCGCGGCGAUUCAAAUCGCGGAAGAUCCUAUCUAGCGCUGAACGGACGGCGCCUCCGCGUUCAACACACGUACAGCCCGGGGACGUCUCCUCCUUCUUGAUCCAGCAAGGGGAGAGGAGAAGUUGAGGGAGAACUCUAGCAGCACGACGGCAUGGUGGCAAUGGAGCUCGUGGUUCUCCGGCAGAGCUUCGCUAAGCACUACGGAGGAGAAGGAGGAGGUGUAUGAGGAGGGAGGGCUGCGCCAGGGAAGAGGUGCGGCUGCCCUCCCACCCCUCCACUAUAUAUAGGGGCAAGGGGAGAGGGGGAGGCGCCCUAGGGUUUCCCCUAGGGGGCGGCGGCCAAGCAGAUUGGAUCUCCCUAGGGAAAAUCCUAGGGAGACUUGCCCCCCAAGCCAAGCUGGUGGAGGCUUGCCUCCCAAGCCAGGUGGAGGCGCCCCACCUCCGCAAGUAACGUGGAAAGGGUGUGGGGGCACACCACCCCUUAGUGGGCUGGCUUGCCCCUUCCCCUUUGGCCCAUGAGGCCCUCCAACACUUGCUGGGGCUCCCGAAACACCUUUCGGUCAUGCUGGCCAUAGCCUGGUACCCCCGGAACACUUCCGGACUCCAAUACCCUUCGUCCAAUAUAUCGAUCUUCACCGCCGGACCAUUCCGGAACUCCUCGUGAUGUCCGGGAUCUCAUCCGGGACUCCAAACAACCUUCGGUAACCACAUACUAUUUCCCAUAACAACUCUAGCGUCACCGAACCUUAAGUGUGUAGACCCUACGGGUUCGGGAACCAUGCGGACAUGACCGAGACACCUCUCCGGCCAAUAACCAAUAGCGGGAUCUGGAUACCCAUAUUGGCUCCCACAUUUUCCACGAUGAUCUCAUCGGAUGAACCACGAUGUCGGGGAUUCAAUCAAUCCCCUAUACAAUUCCCUUUGUCUAUCGGUAUGUUACUUGCCCGAGAUUCGAUCGUCGGUAUCCCAAUACCUCGUUCAAUCUCGUUACCGGCAAGUCACUUUACUCGUUCUGUAACGCAUGAUCCCGUGGCUAACUCAUUAGUCACAUUGAGCUCAUUAUGAUGAUGCAUUACCGAGUGGGCCCAGAGAUACCUCUCCGUCAUACGGAGUGACAAAUCCCAGUCUCGAUUCGUGCCAACCCAACAGACACUUUCGGAGAUACCUAUAGUGCACCUUUAUAGCCACCCAGUUACGUUGUGACGUUUGGUACACCCAAAGCAUUCCUACGGUAUCCGGGAGUUGCACAAUCUCAUGGUCUAAGGAAAUGAUACUUGACAUUAGAAAAGCUCUUAGCAAACGAACUACACGAUCUUGUGCUAUGCUUAGGAUUGGGUCUUGUCCAUCACAUCAUUCUCCUAAUGAUGUGAUCCCGUUAUCAAUGACAUCCAAUGUCCAUGGUCAGGAAACCAUAACCAUCUAUUGAUCAACGAGCUAGUCAACUAGAGGCUUACUAGGGACAUGUUGUGGUCUAUGUAUUCACACAUGUAUUACGGUUUCCAGUUAAUACAGUUAUAGCAUGAACAAUAGACAAUUAUCAUGAACAAGGAAAUACAAUAAUAACCAUUUUAUUAUUGCCUCUAGGGCAUAUUUCCAACAAUAACCGAGGCACGCGGAGACGACGAUGUAUCCCGAAGUUCACACCCUAGCGGAUGCUAAUCUCCGUUUGGAGCGGUGUGGAGGCACAAUGCUCCCCAAGAAGCCACUAGGGCCACCGUAAUCUCCUCACGCCCUCGCACAAUGCAAGAUGCCGUGAUUCCACUAAGGGACCCUUGAGGGCGGUCACCGAACCCGUACAAAUGGCAACCAUUGGGGGCGGUCACCGAACCCGUACACUUUGGCAACCCUUGGGGGCGGUCACCGGUACCCGUCAAAUUGCUCGGGGCGAUCUCCACAACCUAAUUGGAGACCCCGACGCUGGCCCGGAGCUCUGCACCACAAUGAUUGAGCUCCGAACACCACCAACCGUCUAGGGCGCCCAAGCACCCAAGAGGAACAAGCUCAAGGGUACCAAGCACCCAAGAGUAACAAGCUUCUCAACUUGUAACUUCCACGUAUCACCAUGGAGAACUCAAACCGAUGCACCAAAUGCAAUGGCAAGGGCACACGGAGUGCCCAAGUCCUUCUCUCCCAAAUCCCACCGAAGCAACUAAUGCUACGGAGGAAAAUGAGAGGAAGAACGAAGAAGAGAACACAAAGAACUCCAAGAUCUAGAUCCAAAGGGUUCCCCUCACAUAGAGGAGAAAGUGAUUGGUGGAAAUGUGGAUCUAGAUAUCCUCUCUCUUUUCCCCCAAAAACUAGCAAGAAUCCAUGGAGGGAUUGAGAGUUAGCAAGCUUGAAGAAGGUCAAUAACGGGGGAAGAACACGAGCUCAAGGGAUAAGGUUGAAUGGGGAAGAAGACCCCCUUUCAUAGGGGCUCCCGAAUCCAACCGUUAUGUGCUCAGUCCGCGCACAAGCGGUAGUACCCCUCAGGGGAGCGGUACUACCGCCCGAGCGGCAGAACACAGAGAGCGCAGCCAAACAGAGGGCGAGGCAGAGCCGUAUGAGCGGUACUACCGCUGGAGCCAGCGGUACUACCGUUGGCCGUAGCGGUACUGCCGCUUGGCCCAGCGGUACUACCGCUGGGACCGCGCACAGGGAGAAGGAACAAGGAGGAGGGCCAUUGAGCGACACUAGGGGCGGUGGUAGCCGCGGUACUACCGCACACGAGCGGUACUACCGCUCCUACUGCCGCUACUACUGCCGCUGAACCCGACACGAGAAAACCACGUCUCGAGUCGAGGCGGUACCAGCGUGGAACCGGAGCCGUACUACCGCUUAUGGCCAUGGGCGGUACUACCGCUGUGGGAUAGCGGUACUACCACUUGUGGCGAUACGCGGUACUGCCGCUCCGGCCCAGCGGUACUACCGCUGGCGCCAUCCUUAUGCCACUUCCACGAAAACAAGUAUACUCCAAGGAAAACCAGAACUGCCAAAACUUCUGCAAAUGAGCUCCGAAUUGAGCAAACUCAAGCUUGUUCGAUACAAGACGAUGAGUAGCAUCAAAACAACGAUUGGUUAUAGUAAGAAGAGGCAGGGGAGGUAUGCCUAACAAAUAGAGGAGUGAAACCUCCAACAGAGAAGAACCGACAUAACCUCCAACAUCGAAAACAUCAUAGAAGAUGCAUGAGUGAACUCCGUUUUCGAUGAACUCGAGCUUGUCAUCAAGAUGACCAUAAGCUCCAAAUCUCACAAAGAGAACCAAACAAGAACCAAGAAAGAUGAUGCAAGGAUGCAAUGGUUUGAGCUCUUUACGAACAAUACGAUCAAGCUACUCAUCGAGAGUCCCCCUUGAUAGUACGACAAUCGAUCCUAUAACCCGGUCUCCCAACUACCACCAUGAGACCGGUAAAAUAGAAUACCUAUUAAGGAAAAACCUUUGCCUUGCGCAUGGUCCACUUGAGCUAGAUGAUGACGAUCUUGACUCCCUCAAGUUGGACCACCUUUCUUGAUUGCGUUGGCUCGAUGAAGACUAGUUGAUUGCUCCCCCAUACUCCACUAUGGGUGAGCCACUCUUCCGCACAUCUUCACAAGUCCAUUGACACCCCAAUGGAUGGCAAGCUUCAAGCAUUUGAUCUCUUCGUGAUGCUCCACUUGAACUUGCACACCGCAACCUAACCCCACAAAGAACUCUCACAUAGACCAUGGGUUAGUACACAAAACAUAAUGGACAAUACUUACCAUACCAUGGGAUCACUUGAUCCCUCUCGGUACAUCUUCUAUGCUUUGUGAGUUGAUCAACUUGAUUCACUCUUGACUUAGUCUUGAUCAACCUUGCAUCUUUCCAACUUUCUUUAUUUUGAUGAUGUCUUGAAGGUAAACAUUAAUGAUCACACAAUCUUCUUAUUCUUCAAGACAUGCUUGCAAUAAGCUCAACACUCACAUGACCAAUCUUUGGAUAAUUCCUUAAUAGCACCUUGGUCACCACAUAAACUCCUUGAAACCAACACAUGGACUUCAAAGAAAUGCCUAUGGACAAAUCCUUCAAAUAUAACUCAAGGCAACCAUGAGUCCAUAGAGAUUGUCAUUAAUUACCAAAACCAAACAUGGGGGCACCGCAUGUUCUUUCACAUUGUCGGCUCAUCUUCAUUACACAACACCGAAAAGACCAAAUUAAUACAAGUUCAUACAUAAAGUUCAUACAACACUUAAAUGCAACAAACAAAUAACUCUCUAACUAAAGCAUUUAAAUGCAACAACAAAUGCGAUCAAGAUCGCAACUAAGGUAACAAUUGAUCCAAAAGCAUAAUGAUACCAAGCCUCACUAUCAAUGGCAUGUUUUCUAAUCUUUCUAAUCUUCAAGCGCAUUUACUCCAUCUUGAUCUUGUGAUCAUCGAGGACAUCGGCAACAUGCAACUCCAAUUCCAUCUUCUCCCCCUCAAUUCUUUUCCAUUUUUCUUUCAAAUACUCGUUUUAUCUUUCAACUAAAUUUAACCUCUCGACAAUAGGGUCGGUUGGAAUUUCCGGUUCACAAACCUCCUAAAUAAAAAUAUCUAUGUCAACUUGAUGGGCAUAAUAAUUUGUCAUAAACACGAAAUGCAACAACUAGUUUUAAAAGAGAAUAUACCACAUCCGAAUCAUAACAAGGACGAGGGCCGAUGGGGACGGAUAUCAAAACCAUGGCACUAUGUAUAACAAACAACGCACGGGUAAGAUAAUUAUACGAGUAACUAUAUAUCCAAAUCACACAAACAUCAAUUUGGUAAUGUAAAACAUUCAUGAACAAGAGGCUCACCACAAGGUGGUGCCGGCGACGGGACGGUGCGGGCGAUCGACGUUGGUUAUGACGGAGAUUUAGAAGGCACUAAGUAAACCACACCUACAUAUGCAAACUAAGUGUUAAUUAUUUUUGACCUCAAAUUGCAUAUAAAUCAAAUACUAGCACAUAUAUUUCCUCCCAAAUUACUAAACUCAUAAAUUAAUCACUAUACAAAGCAUUGCAAGAGCUAAUCUAGCAAUGAGAGAUGAAAGGAAAAAGUUGCUAACCUUUGUGAUCAUUUGAAUGGAUGGGGAGCUUCAAAUCUUGACAAAUUUUGGGCAAAAUGUGUGAUGAGCUCGAGAGGAAGAGGGAAAGAACGGAGAGGAGAGGGGAAAGGGGAAGAACAGAGCAAGCUCGGGUGGACGAAGGGUUUAUGUAGGACGACCUUUAGCACCGGUUCGUGCCACGAACCGGUACUAAAGGUGCUGGAGGGGCCCCGGACUGACAACAUCCUGCCACCACUCACUUUAGUACCGGUCCGUGGCACGAACCGGUGCUAAAGGUUCGCCACGAACCGGUACUAAUGAGAGCGGGCGGCUAGCCGUUGGAACCGGCACUAAUGUGCUUGACAUUUGACCCUUUUUCUACUAUUGAUACAUGCAAGAUGGGAGAAAUAAUAAUGAAUACUGAAAUCUCAUGUAGAGGAUUGGUUUGGGUAUGCCGUUUACAUGUACUAGAAGCAACAUGUUUAGGCAAUGAAAAAGCCAAAAAAUACAUCUAGUUAUACAUAUACUUCAUUGCUGGAUAACUGACUAUGAUAGUAUGGAGUCAUCCCGGCCAUUACUAUGACCACAUUUUUGUUCUUGCGGUUACUAUGAUUCCGCUUCCCUUUCGCCUAGUAACUAGAGCACGACGAUGUGUAUCCCACUGUUCAGGGUCCUCAUUCCAUACAUCAUCAAGUAAUAGAAGAAACCGAGAGGUCCUCUUGAAGCAACUUCAUGUUGGUCGUCUGAUGAGACCCCACUGGUGACUAAUUCAAUGGUUUCCUUGGUAAGCUUCAUGUGAUCAACAAUUUCUGAAACACACAGCCAAACCAUUAACUGAAAUGCUCAUUUAUUCUUGUAUCAUUGUAGACAAGCUGUGUUAGAGUCGUCUUCCCUAGUCCUCCCAUUCCCACUAUGGGCUGAGGCCAUGCCAUGAGCCGUGUUGUUUGCUAUGCAGCUGAGACCAUGGCAUGAGCUAUGUUGUUUGGUUCUCAACCAUUGAAAUAGAAAGGUUGUCAUGGUUAGAGGCUUGGUUCUCAACCAUUUUUUUCGAACUUUUUUCGAUUUUACUGUUCACCCGAGCUCAUUUGAGCUCAGGAGCAGAAGGACACUUUCGCUUCCGUACCCACCUGAGAAGUAGAGCAAUAUUCAAAAACCUCAUAUUCAUAAUGCCCAACUCCCCUGAUCUUUGCACAUGCAAAUGUUUGCCCGCUUGAUCAUGCGGUAUCGCUGACUACCUUUAGCUUCCCGCCAGAAAAAUCUGGAGUAGGACUUAUCUGUAGACUGUAGUGGCACCGGUCCUGCAGGAAACACGUAAAACCCCAUCAUGAACAUAGCCAAGCUUGAAAGACAGGAGUUUACAAGGACUGUCUAACCGGCCUUGGACAUGAGGUGAAUACACUAGAACUCCGUCCAACCCUGGGCUUUUUGUCCACGAGUGGCACCAGGCCGCACCCCACGAUCUUGGAAUCAAUGAUAGGGACGCCAAGGUAUGUCAAUGGGAACAACCCCAAUAAACAAUUAAGUCGGUUAGUAAUAACAAUUUGUUAUUCCUUGACAUAACUGACCAUGAUCACUUCACUUUUCACGAAGUUAAUUUGCAGAACCAGCUUGUCUGCAAUUGGAGUCAACCACAUAGCACAAACCUUGGGAAAGAUCCUAAGGUCAACUUUUAUGGCGGUUAUUGGCACAAAUUGCCUAAUGUCCAUUGCCCCCACUACCUUGGGUACCAACAAGAUCACUCCAAAGUUAAUCUGGGAUGAAUCAAGAAUACCCACAAAGAACUCCUGAACCAUACACAAAAAUGUGCCCUUGAUCACACCCCAAAACUUCUUUAAAAAGCACACCAAGAGACCAUUUGGUACUGAUGUCGGCGAUGAGUUCAUAGAGUUGAUCAUUGCUUAAGAACCGCUAGGAAAGAGAUUGCACUCCCUGCCACAACCCAUCUCCGGAUCCCAGCGCGGUGAUGAUUCAUGAGGGCCACCACGUAAGGGAGGAGGGUUUUGGGGGGAGGAACAUGGAUGAUAAAGCAAGCCAGGUGUCCGUGACACUACGCUCGAAGAGGCAGGAACCCAUAAGUCAAGCGAAGGGAGGGAUCCCAAGCCAUAUAGGCGACUUAGCGGGGGCCCAGGAGUUGGCAAAGGACGAAAGCCUGAUGCGGAGCAGAUCACCCUAGCCCUCCAAAGGCUGAACCAGCAGCUCCCUAUCCAAGGUUUGUUGGGCUUCCACCAGAGGCCCAACAAGUGAGGUGGAUGAAGGCCCAGCCCCUCCCAACUUGAUCCCCUUCGAGGCAUGGGCCCACUAAGAACCCUAAUCCUCAUGCUCCAUCCUUGACCUGAAUGCCCGAGGACAUCGGUAAGACCAAUGAUUCGCUAGGGAGCAUGUCAACAACCUCGAAGCACCAUCUCUUGCAGCAGAGGAGCCACAUCCAAUUUAUCCGCAGCGCCCCAAUAGGGACUCCUAGACGAAUACUAAUACUCCUCUUUAAUGCAACCCCCCCCCAAAACCCAAGUGUAUGCAAUAUCAUUGCACUUGAGAUAGUGUAAUACUAGGGGGGAUGAUAAUCUAGAACGCACUUCUUGAGAGUUUCGUCGUACCAUGGGGAGCCUUCAAAACCCAUGGAGUUAAAGGGGAUAACCAGAAAGAUGGCGCAUCAGAGGAAGACACCACAUCAAUAGAAGAUACAAGAUAAGAUGGGUUGUCACACACAAAAUCAAGGGAGUGAAGCAUUUCUCACAAAAUCAUAGCCCAAGAAAACUGACGGCAAGAGAAUGGGUGUAGAUCAACUAUGCAAAAAGAGGCCACGAAAAUCCUACUAUAGAGAACAACAAGGACCGGAAAAGGCCACAAAAAUUGUAUAGAAAGGACUAGGACCAAAAAAGUGUGACAUAUAAGGUUUGGUGAAUCCGCAUGGCAUGAGAAACACACGAAAGAACAAGGGAUUUGGUGAAUGCAGCGGAAAAAGAAAGGUAGAAGCUAGGAAGCAAACAUGAGAUAAAGAUGCAGGAGCCAUCGUGUUUUAAGGGAAGGCUGUGCAAGUGUAAUGCUGACAAGGAGCAGGGAAGAAGAGCAACAAGCAAAGGAGGACCUAACACUAGUAGAAGGUGCAAGUUUGAGAUGAAUUGGGUGGAGUGAACACUGACAUGAAGCCAGAUAUAACAACUUUCUCAAAGAGAUUGGCAUAGUUUUUGGUUGGUUACAAUCUCCUAGAGAUGCAAACUAAAAGUCUAGAACGACAGGUGUGGAAGUUUGGGGAGGCACAGUCUUUCAUUGCUUCAUCAUUGACUCCAAAGGCAUUGCCCUUAUACCAGCUGAAGCUGAGGAUAUACUUUUCAGGAAGAGGAGUCUUAUUUUUUUCCACGGGUCGAAUAGAAGCACACUUGUCCCAAUACAAGUAUCAGUCGAAUGGCGUCAUCUACAAAUGUGAUUCCCGAUUCGAUCACGGUGGCUAGGCACGACUUAUUCCAUCUUAAGGAUUAUCUACUUGUUUAAUUUUCUGUAACUUUAGUUGUUUGACUAGCUUUACCCAAUUUCGUUGAUUAUUUCAUGUCUUGUGCAGCCAAAGCUAACAGAGCGAACAAGUUGUGUAUUCCUCGCCCUUACACAUAAUUUGUUUUCCUUCAUCAAGCUAAGGGAUCCGAGGAUGGCAAUUUACGAGGAAAGACGGCGAAGGAACACGUUGUUGUGUAUGACACUGUCUGUGUGUACCAUAUCCAUUUUCAUUUUUGUGUCAUCAGUCAACAAAGUUUGCAAGGAAAGCCACCAAGGAUGGCCGUUUCAACUUGAUAGUAUGAUUUUUUGAAGCGGAGGUACCAUUUCAGUUCCCUGACAAGUGUAGUUUAUGUAAUGGAUGAAGGUACGUGAUUCAGAUUUAUUUUCCCUUUAAUUCAACAUGUUAUUUUGUCUGGUAUUAUUCCACAAUGAUGAUGGGAUAUUGGGGGUGUCAACUGCGUGAAUCAAUGCUUGAAGUUUGCAAUCUGAGUUUGAAUCAGUUGAAAGUUUAAGAUCCGAGUUAGAUUAUGUGGUCAUUUGAUUUUGCCUUCUGAAGAAUUAUGCCAUUGUGUGGUCAAUUUGCAGGCAAGUAUGAGACGGUGGUGUAAUUAUUGGCCAGAUGAAGUAUGGUUUAGUGGUAAAACACAUGAAGAUUAAAAAUAUAAAUAUUAAUUUAUAUUUUCAUCUGUAUUUUUACAUACAUUGUACAAGUAUACAACAUAGUACAACACUAUGUCACUGUACAAGUAUACAUAUUUACGUUUUCUGUACGCUCUAACGGGCUUAAGGCCCGUACCCCCCACCUACUGUGUGGGGGCAAGCGGACGGGUCGAAGGCCGGCCGCCAUAUAAACUGGCGCAUUCUGUGGCAGGCUAGCGAUGCGGUACAAAGCCGAUCAGUGUACUUUUUUUUCUAGGGGAACCGAUCAAUCUACAACUGACGUCACCUCAGAAAAUAAUCUACUACUGGCGUACUAUCAUCCAGCGGUGCGGACCAAGAAAAAAAAAA